rnacentral:lncRNA from 1 species
CUUCCAGAAUACGCAGGGCCUCAUUUUUGUUGUCGACAGCAAUGAUAGGGAACGUGUUGUUGAGGCUAGGGAUGAGCUCCACAGGAUGCUGAAUGAGGUACUGCACUAGUGACUAGUGUUGUUGUAGUUGUUCUGAAGUUUCCCAAUUUGCAAAUAUUCUGUCUGACUUUCCAUAUAUGGUAAUGUGAAUUUUUGUUCAGUAAUAAGCAAUAAAUACAUGAAGAUAGCUGAACUGUCAAGUCAAUAUUCGUUUUCUUAUAUAUGCUUAGUCUGCUUUAUUGAGAAUUCACUAAUUGAAAUUUUAGCUCCUCUUUCCAUUCAAUAUUGAAAUUCAUAAUUAAUGUAUUAUCUUUCUGUGAUAUAGGAUGAGCUGCGUGAUGCUGUGUUGCUUGUAUUUGCAAACAAACAAGAUCUUCCUAAUGCCAUGAAUGCUGCUGAAAUCACCGACAAGCUUGGUCUGCACUCCCUGCGCCAGCGGCACUGGUAAGGAACUCCACGCACAUAGUUCAGAAGCUAUUUACCUUCUAAUAGCGCGGUCAAAAUUUCCCUGGUGUUAUGCUGUUUCUCAGAUUCUAUGUGCUGCAGAUAUUUGUAAUUGAGAACUUUAAUUUGUAAUAAGAGUUAUUUGAAAGUACAGUAGUGUAUCCCCAGAACAAAUCUGGUAGAACAUAAGUACUUAUUUCUGUUAAACCACAUAGGGUGUAACUCCGAAAAUAGACCAUCGCCCCGCUUUAUAGAUAAAGCCACAUGUUUGAACGAUAUAGUUCAUAUGGUGUACCUGGGGAUCAUGAAUGUGUCUUGGGCUGAGUUUAAGUCCAUUUUGGUGCUACACUACUUAUCCUGUCUAAAAUAAUUGUUGGUGUCACUGUUUGCCCUUUUGGAUCCGUAAGGUGCAGUGCUGGUGCUAAAAUAAAUUAUUUCCUGUGGUGCAGGUACAUUCAGAGCACUUGUGCGACGUCUGGCGAAGGGUUGUACGAGGGACUUGACUGGCUCUCCAACAACAUUGCCAACAAGGUAUAUUAGGCUGGUCAUAGUGGGAGUAACAUAGGUAGUAACUUAGAUGCCACAUAAGCAAAAAUGAUGAGGUGGCAAGUAGUUAAUGAGGAGAGAGGCAAAUAGAGUAACAUAAUAUGUUACCAUCACAUAGCGCUUUCCAAUGCAAAAUGAGUCUACAAAGUAAUAAAUGAAGACAUCUAUGUUACCACAUACUCCCUUCGUCCGAAAAUACUUGUCAUCAAAAUGGAUAAAAGGAGACGUAUCUAGAACUAAAAUACGUCUAGAUGCAUCCUCUUUUAUCCAUUUUGAUGACAAGUAUUUCCGGACGGAGGGAGUAUAUGAUACUACCCACUAUGAAGGUAGUAACAUAGACUAGUAACAUAUGCAUGUUACUAGUCUAAGUUACUCUCCACUAUGACCAGCCUUAGCCUCAACUGAUUGUUUUUCAUUGAAUAUCUUCUCUGUGUUAUGCUUCUAAAGACUGCUGCACUUGCUUAAAUGAUAUUUCCCUUAGCAGCUGUCACACUUCUGCUGCUAUUUAUUAUAGCUACUAAACGCAGUUUGGAGCAUCUGUGCUUAGAUUAGUCACACAAUGGCACAAUGAAGUUGAACAGUCUGACACAAUCACUCCUAUGUUCUAUGCUAUACCUUACUUAAUAAGCAUCUGUGCUUAGAUUAGGCACACAAUGAAAGUUGAACAGUCUCACACAAGCACUCCUCUCUGUUCUGUGCCACAGUACUUAAACAAGUAGCAUAGCAUAGCACACCAACACUUGCGCUUAUGCUUUGAUCCCCCAUGACUGACGGCACAUCCUCUUCAUUUGUUUGUGCAGGCUUGAAGCGUCUCGACAAGUGCUUCAUCAAGAAACAAACGUGCUGGAUGUCUCAACAACUCACUGCUACCAUUUUACAUAUUGUGAUAUAUAUACACUGCACAAGAGAUAGUAUGUGUGCGUAUGUGACAGGCAGAAGCUCCCUUCUUUAAGUGAGCUAGUAUCAGGUCAGGUUGUCUUUUUUUGUAUGGAUAUUAUCAGCUGCUGUUCGGUGGUUUUACAAGGUUUAAUGUGUCGACAAUGUGUGUCUGAACCCCUAUCUUUUUGAGUUUUAGUAAGAUUGGAUUAUGGUUGCCAAUGUUGGUUGGUUCAGUUGAGUGAUGUGGAUGGUACAUGUUGCGAACAUACUUAUGUGAGCGAUGUUUUCAGUAGUUCUGUAUACGAUCCAGUCGGUGCUGGUUCUGCUCUUUCGGUCUGGCUGUCGGUAUCGUUUGCACGCCACCAAUAUUUGUGGAGAUCCACUCACGCACUCGGUGAUGGGUGCAUACGCCAUUAUUGCCGCAUACGGUGGGCAUGGAGUUAUUUACUUAUAUUUCUUUCUGCACUUGUAUUUGUUAGGCUGGUCAUAGCGGGGAGUAACUUAACUUAGACUAGUAACAUGCAUAUGUUACUAAUCUAUAUUACUACCCCUAUAAUGCAUAGUAUCAUAGAUUAAUAUCAUAGAUAGUUUCAUUUAUUGUCAUGCAUGACACAUAGUGGUAUCACAUUUAUUAUGUUACGGUAUCUAUCUAUGUUACUAUAACCAUCUCUUUCUUUUUUAAUUGCCUGCCACAUAAGCAUGUUUGCGAGUCCCAAAUGCAUGAUACUACUUAUAUUACCCCCACUAUGGCCAGCCUUAGCCUUUUUUGGAUGUGAGGGCAGAUAUUUCCAGGCAAAAGGCGCCCGGGGUGAAAUAUGCUCUCUGCAAAAUAGAAACUCCGUGGGAAAUUCACUUAGCCCUUUCAUUUCCGAAAUCACAUAGAGCGUGUUUGGUUGCCCGCACAAGGUCCAACCAGGCCCGCGUGGGAAGGAUUCGGCUUGUUUGGUAGCCCGCAUACACUAUUGAGCCUGCAUUGCAUGAUUCUUAAAGCACCAGGCCCAAGCGGUGCAUGUGGGAGGGCGCGGUUGCACGCGCGCGACCAUGCUCGAGAAGCCGCGUUGCUUUCCGAAGCGCCGGUAGUUAUUAGCCUCACCGCCCCUCACCGCUCCCUCUCCCCACUCUUCCUCACUCUCCUAACUCUCACCGGCGGCGGUGGAUCGGAGCAGAGGAAGAAGACCAUCGGACUUCAUCACCGGUGGCGGCGGAUCGGAGCAGAGGAAUAAGACCAUCGAACUCCAUCAAUGGCGAUAAGCACUUCUCUCUCUUCAACAUGCAUGCUUGAUUCGAUCCACGACGAUAGAUUCUAUCCACGGCGGACGGGAAUGGGGAAUAGAGGUAGAUAAGCAUAGGGGUAAUUCAUAGCAGUUCAUACGAGUUCAUACAUGCAAGAUUGGAAUGCAGAAGAUGGAUUGCGGGAUUGGGGGAUUGGGGAAUAAGGGGAUAGGGGGUACGCAACGAACACCGGCUGACGGCGGCGGCCGUCACCGGCGUGCGGAGCGGCUGGUCGAGCCGCUGGCCUUCAUCUUCUUCAUCGCCAUGCGGGCCGGCGGGUCGUCCUCGUCGUCCUCGGUGGAGUCGAGGUCGAUCUGCCAGGUAGGACGGCCUGGCUCCGACGCCCUAGCUGGCAUGUGCACCACUUCUUCCUCCUCCAUAGGCUCCUCGCCGAUGACCGCCGGCGGCGCGAUAGCCGUCUCCCAGUACACUGCGGCACGCCGGUCAUUAGGAGCCCAGUAGAUCUUGUACUUGCACCACUUCUUCCUCUGUUUAGCGUUGUCGAAGACGACCUGAUUCAUGGCCCAGCGAAUGAUGUCAACUGCCAUCGCGCCCUUUGCUGGGUCAGAAAUCAGCGUCUUCAACUCUUCUUUAGUGGGCUUCAUGAGCACUGCAUUAGAUUCGUUGUGCAUGUCCGGCAUGGAGCCGAAGUUCGAGCACACCUCCAUGGUGUUCUCAAACUUGGUGCGGUCACCAGCCGACCACCGAGGAAGAAGGCCCUCCAGCCAAUACCCCAAGGGAAGGGGUUGGCGUUGAAGCUGGAGCUAGAGCUCAUGGCGAUGGGAAGGAGGAAGGUUGACAGUGACAAAAGAGAGGGGGUGGGUAAGUAGUGGUGGGCAGGGUGAGUAAAUAUAGGGGGAUAGAGAGGAGGAGAAGAGUGACAGUUAUGCCGUUUUAACUACAAGCUCUUCAAUUAGCAAUGAACUCUGUGUAGUGCGUGACUCCAUGAAUUGUGUGCAGAUCGAGGAGAGCAAUGAGAUGGGCAUGGAGGUCCUCCCGGCCGUUGACAACAAGGGCAAGUAGCCCAAGUAGCCCCUUCACCCAAUGCCCGACGAGGUUGAGCUGCCGCCCACCGCCGAGGAAGACCCGAAGACGCCUAAGGGUGGCGAUGAUGAGGGCAUGGAGGAGCCCCCCCAGCAACAAAGCGCCGCAACUACGGCCACUACCAUCAGGAGGAUGGCCCUUGCACCGAAGCUUGAGUGCAUCCCCAUGCCCCUGGACUUCACCAAGCACUUCGUCGCGGUGCCGACGGAGUUCAAGCUCAGGAACAACACCGGCUGCUCCUGGAAGGUGAUGGUCAAGCUGAUGAACGGCAGGAUGACCGUGGAUUAGGGUUAGGCCACCUAUGCAGUUGUUCAUCAGAUCAAGAUCGGCUACAUGGUCACGUUCAAGCUCCUCACUCCCGACACCCUCAAGGUCAUCAUCUUCGACGACGAUGGCAUUGAGAUCGUCAACAAGUGCGGGAAGCACGACGAAGCCUUCGCCGGCAAGGGGUAGGGCCAGGCCACCUCUUUCGGGCGUACUACCGAGUCUGCUUUGAACAUGUUUAUGAUUUAUGCGUUGAACUGUUAUGAAGUGUGGUACUGCUUAUAUUUGAAUUAUGCUAGUUUAUACUCUGUUUAUAUUGUGUUGUGCUUAUGAUCUGUGCUGCCGAAGUGUGGUGGUAACCUCACCAACUAGCCAAAGAGGUUACCACACACCAGGCGUUGCAUACAACCAAACACCAUGCCUUGGGUUUGUCCGCUAGCAUGCAGGCAACCAAACACCAGGCAGUGUGGUUCUACCCACGCAGGCAAGAGGCCAUGCAGGCAACCAAACAACAUGCAAAUGGUGCAUUUGAGGCUGCAUUUGCAUAGCCAGGUUGGGUGGAGAAGUGUAUGCAAUGCGGGUACUGUAGCGCACGGCAACCAAACACGCCCAUAGCAGAUCUGGAGCUCGUCUUUGGACAGAGAAGGGGAGGGGGGGCGGGGGAGAGUGUGGCGCGUCGCGAGCAGGACGGGGAGAUUCUUCCUUGGCAACAAAUGGGAGUUCAGAAAAACCAGGGCCAAAUCUACUCGUGUUAUUCCCACCCAGGGAAACGACGGGGAUCCCGGGAGGAUCCCUCGCAACCAAAUGAGGCCUUAGUGUCACUUCCAUAACACUAGGGAAUAUUUAUAGUAGCCAGUCCGUGAUUUACUACGGUACGUAAAUAGGAGUAUUCUACUAUAACAUCGAUUAUACAACACUCAUACGACAACAUGCACGCACAACACUUACUUAAGACCGGGUCGAAGUUGCAGAGCUUUGUGAAUGACAAAGUCAUCGCUGAACUGUCAACGAAAAUGCCACCAUUCUUUGAAAGAAUAAUUCAUGUUAAUGUGACAUCAAAAUGUCAAACCUAAUUUGAACUGUACCACUGCCCUCUAACAAUGUGAUUGUAUAGAAAAUGUUUUAUUUGUCAAGUAUAAAAGCAAUUCUAGCAUAUACUUCCUCCAUCCAAAAAAUUUGUCAUCAAAAUAGAUAAAAAGAGAUGUAUCUAGAACUAAAAUACAUCUAGAUACAUCCCCUUUUAUCCAUUUUAAUGACAAGUAUUUUCGGACGGAGGUAUCAUUCCAUCAUACGAAGUUAGUGGUUCAAAAAUGGCUCUAACAGAAUCGCCAUAUAUAUUGCCUUCUGCCUACAUAAUUUUUAGAGUGUGCUUCAGUAGUGGGUCAUAGCCUCCACAUUUGGGGGUGGUGAUAUGUAGCGCACUAUGUCGGAGUAAAUGGCCACGGGUAGCCCUAUCCGCUCCCCUUAACAUUUCAAGACAUCGGGGCCAACUGUGCCCCUCAAGCAUCAAAAUCAAAAGCCCGCCUCCUUAUGGCCGGCUGAUCCAAGCGGCCGGCUGCAGGAAGGCGGCAAGGCCCAAAGAGCGGCCCUAGAGUGGGCCGACUCCUAGCAGGCGGCCACCAGAGCGACCGACUCUUAGCAGGCGGCCCACCCUUACACCCUCAAAGUUUGCACCCACAUAACGGCGAUGAGACGGGGUGUGGCCACAGUACAGCCUGCCACCCCUAAAUCCCGGAACGGGCGUGGCCAUAGUGCGACGUACCGGGCGGCCAUCCCUAGCCCGGCGUAGCACUGUCGCCACGUUACCUGUGACAUCAUCCAUGGCAGAGGAAGCCAUACUUCCACGACGGGCUGUCGGUACGGCCCGCAGGCGGCGGGCCCUACCUGUCUGCGAGAUGCCCGAAGACGGCCAGCCAAGACCAGUUGGCGUGGGGGGAAGCCGACUCCCAGCAGUCGGCCUUCCCCUUCCCUAGAAGUUUGUGCGACAUUAACCAGAUAAGACGGGGUGUGGCUACAGUGAACGCCCACCAGGCGGCGGUACUGUAGCCACGCUCCCCCUGACCAAGCCUUCGUCACCAGAGGCAGGGCUACAGUGAUGAGCAGCCGACAAAACUCCAACGUAUUUUUGAUUGUUCCAUGCUAUUAUAUUACCUAUUUUGGAUGUUUAUGGGCUUUAUUUUACACAAUUAUAUCAUUUUUGGGACUAACCUACUAAUCGGAGGCCCAGCCCGUAUUGCUGUUUUUUUGCCUAUUUCAGUAUUUCAAAGAAAAGGAAUAUCAAACGGAGUCUAAACGGAAUGAAACCUUCGGGAGCGUGAUUUUUGGAACGAACGUGAUCCAGAGGACUUGGAGUGCAAGUCAAGAAGCAACCGAGGUGGCCACGAGGGUGGAGGGCGCGUCCACCCCUACAGGGCGCGCCCCCUGUCUCGUGGGCCCCUCGGGCGGCCACCGACGUACUUCUUCCUCCUAUAUAAGCCUACAUACCCCGAAAACAUCCAGGGAGCCAUCAAAGAAAUAUUUUCGCUACCGUAACCUUUUGUAUCCGCGAGAACCCAUCUUGGAGCCGUCGCCGGCGUUCUGCCAGAGGGGGAAUCCACCACGGAGGGCUUCUACAUCAACACCAUAGCCCUUCCGAUGAGUUGUGUGUAGUUUACCACAGACCUUCGGAUCCAUAAUUAUUAGCUAGAUGGCUUCUUCUCUCUUUUGGAUCUCAAUACAAUGUUCCCCCCUCUCUUGUGGAGAUCUAUUCGAUGUAUACUCUUUUUGUGGUGUGUUUGUCGAGAUCCGAUGAAUUGUGGGUUUAUGAUCAAGUUUAUCUAUGAAUAAUAUUUGAAUCUUCUUUGAAUUCUUUUAUGUAUGAUUGAGUUAUCUUUGCAAGUCUCUUCGAAUUAUCGGUUUGGUUUGACCUACUAGAUUGAUCUUUCUUGCCAUGGGAGAAGUGCUUUGCUUUGGGUUCAAUCUUGCGGUGUCCUUACCCAGUGACAGAAAGGGUUGCAAGGCACGUAUUGUAUUAUUGGCAUCGAGGAUAAAAAGAUGGGGUUUAUAUCAUGUUGCUUGAGUUUAUCCCUCUACAUCAUGUCAUCUUUCUUAAUGCGUUACUCUGUUCUUAUGAACUUAUUACUUUAGAUGCAUGCUGGAUAGCGGUCGAUGUGUGGAGUAAUAGUAGUAGAUGCAGGCAUGAGUCGGUCUACUUGUGACGGAUGUGAUGCCUAUAUACAUGAUCAUGCCUAGAUAAUCUCAUAAUUAUUCGCUUUUCUAUCAAUUGCUCGAUAGUAAUUUGUUCACCCACCGUAAUACUUAUGCUAUCUUGAGAUAAGCCUCUAGUGAAACCUAUGGCCCCCGGGUCUAUCUUUUAUCAUAUAAGCUUUCAAUCUACUUUUAUUUGCAUCUAUAUUAUGAAAUACCAAAAAUAUAUUUAUCUUAUCAUAUUAUCUCUAUCAGGUCUCACUUUCGCAAGUGGUCGUGAAGGGAUUGACAACCUUUUAUCGCGUUGGUUGUGAAUUCUUUGUUUGUUUGUGUAGGUUCGUGGGACUUGUGAGGAGCCUUCUACUGAAUUGAUACCUUGGUUCUUAAAAACUGAGAGAAAUACUUACGCUACUGUGUUGCAUCACCCUUUCCUCUUCAAGAAAACCAACGCAAGUUCAAGACGUAGCAAGAAGGAUUUCUGGCACCAUUGCCGGGGAGGUCUUCGCUCAAGUCAAGACAUACCAAGUACCCAUCACAAACUCAUCUCCCGGUUUGCUACUAAGAGUGCUUCUAUUGAUCCCAAUGAUAUGCCUUUAUCUACCUUGAUUGAGAAUAAUAAUGAAUCUAUGGAUGUAAAUUUUGUUAGUAGGAAUAAUUUUGGAAACAAUGCCUAUAGAGGAAACUUUAAUUCUAGACCAUUUCCUAGCAAUUCCUCUAAUAAUUAUGAAAAUUCCUACAAUAAUUCUUAUGGUAAUUUUAAUAAGAUACCCCCUGAUUUUGAAAAUAGUGUGAAAGAAUUUAUGAUCUCUCAAAAGAAUUUUAAUGCUUUGCUUGAAGAAAAAUUGCUCAAAGUUGAUGAUUUGGCUAGGAACGUUGAUAGACUUUCGCUUGAUGUUGAUUCUCUUAAACUUAGAUCUUCUUCUCCUAAACAUUAUAUCAAUGAGUCUCUCAAAGCUAUGAUAAGUUCCAUUGACGAGUACAAAGAAAGAACCGCUAGAUUGCGUGCUAAGAAAGAUUGCUUUGUAAAAGCGUGUUCUUCUAGUUUCCAUGAAAAUAUUGAUGAAGAUCUUAAAGUUAUUGAUGUGUCCCCUAUUAGAUCUUUAUUUUGCAAUAUUAAUCUUGAUAAUAAUGGGACUGGAGAUGAGUCAACUUUAAUUAGAAGGCGUCCCAAGAAUUUGGAGUUUUUAGAUCUUGAUGCUAAAUUUGGUAAAAGUGGGAUUGGAGAGGUCAUGACUUUAAAUAGUAUUGAACCCACUAUCUUGGAUUUCAAGGAAUUUGAUUAUGAUAAUUGUUCUUUAGAAAUUUGUAUUUCCUUGUUGCAAUACGUUGUUAAUUCUUCUCAUGCUUAUAGUAAAAAAAAUGUUUACCAAACAUAUUGUUGAUGCCUUGAUGAAAAACUUAAUUUGGAAGUUUCUAUACCUAGAAAACUUAAUGAUGAGUGGGAACCUACUAUAAAGAUUAAAAUUAAAGAUUAUGAGUGUUUUGCUUUGUGUGAUUUGGGUGCUAGUGUUUCCACGAUUACGAAAACUUUAUGUGAUAUUCUAGGUUUUCAUGAUCUUGAUGAUUGAUCUUUAAAUUUGCACCUUGCGGAUUCCACCAAUAAAAAGCCAAUAGGAAGGAUCAAUGAUGUCUUUAUUGUUGCAAAUAGAAAAUUGGUGCCCGUUGAUUUUAUCGUUCUUGAUAUAGAUUGCAAUCUUUCUUGCCCUAUUAUUCUUGUUAGAGCUUUCCUUAGAACGAUUGGCGCGAUUAUUGAUAUGAAGGAAGGGAAUAUUAGAUUCCAAUUUCCAUUAAAGAAAGGCAUGGAGCACUUUUCAAGAAAGAAAGUCAAAUUACCUUAUGAAUCUAUCAUGCGAACUACCUAUGAAUCAAGUGCCAAAGAUGUCACUACUUAGAUCUAUCUUCGCUUUUAUGCCUAGUUAGGGGCGUUAAACGAUAGCGCUAGUUGGGAGGCAACCCAAUUUUCUUUAUGUUUUUUGUUUUUGUUCCUGUUUAGUAAUAAAUUUUACAUCUACUUUCUAUUUAGAUGUGUUUUCUUGUUUUAAUUAGUGUUUGUGCCAAAUAGAACCUAUAGGAUAACCUAUGAUAUGAGUUGAUUUGAUUCUGCUGAAAAACAGAAACUUUGCACUCACGAGAAAAAAUUCAAUAAAUCACAGAAACGAGCUUUUGCAUUGAUUCUUUUUUCUUCUGUUCAAUAAACAAAUUGUUUAGGACCUCCUAUUUUUGUAGGAUUUUUGUGGUUCGAUAAAUUUGCGUUAGCUACAGAUUUCUACAGACUGUUCUGUUUUUGAUAGAUUCUGUUUUUCGUGUGUUGUUUGCUUAUUUUGAUGCAUCUAUGGCUAGUAAAAUAGUUUAUAAACCAUAGAGAAGUUGGAAUACAUUAGGUUUGACAUCAAUAUAAAUAAAGAAUGAGUUUAUUACAGUACCUUUUGUGGUAGUUUUAUUUUCUUUCACUAACGAAGCUUAUGAGAUUUCCUGUUGAGUUUUCUGUUAUGAAGUUUUCAAGUUUUGGGUAAAGCUUUCAUAAACUACAGAAUAAGGAGUGGCAAAAGCCUAAGCUUGCGGAUGCCCAAGGCACUCCAAGAUAUUCAAGAAUAGCCAAAAGCCUAAGCUUGGGGAUGCCCCCGGAAGGCAUCCCCUUUUUCGUCUUUGUUCAUUGGUAACUUUACUUGGAGCUAUAUUUUUAUUCGCCACAUGCUAUGUGUUUUGCUUGGAGCGUCGUGUAUUAUAUUAGUUUUUGAUUUUUAGUUUACCACAAUCAUUCUUGCUGUAACACACCUUUUGGGAGAAACCUACUUGACUGAAAUUUGUUAGAAUACUCUAUGUGCUUCACUUAUAUCUUUUGAGCUUCAUAGUUUUUGCUCUAGUGCUUCACUUAUAUCUUUUAGAGCACGGCGGUGGAUUAAUUUUGAAGAAAUUAUUGAUCUCUCAUGCUUCACUUAUAUUAUUUUGAGAGUCUUUUAGAACAGCAUGGUAUUUGCUAUGGUUAUAAAUUGAUCCUAGAAUGAUGAGCAUCCAAGUUGGGUAUAGUAAAAACUAUCAUAGGAAGUGAAUUGGAUGCUAUGAUCAACUUGAUACUUGAUAAUUAUUUUGAGAUAUGGAGGUAGUGAUAUUAAAGUCAUGCUAGUUGGGUGAUUAUGAAUUUAAAGAAUGCUUGUGUUGAAGUUAGCAAGUCCCGUAACAUGCACGUAUGGUUAAAGUUGUGUAACAAAUUUGAAACAUGAAGUGUACCUGGCUUGUGCAUCCUUAUGAGUGGCGGUCGGGGACGAGCGAUGGACUUUUCCUACCAAUCUAUCCCCCUAGGAGCAUGCGCGUAGUGCUUGGUUUUUGAUGACUUGUAGAUUUUUGCAAUAAGUAUAUGAGUUCUUUUGACUAAUGUUGAGUCCAUGGAUUUUAUGCACUUUUACCUUUCCACCAUUGUUAGCCUCUUCGGUACCGUGCAUUGCCCUUUCUCACCUUGAGAGUUGGUGCAAACUUCGCCGGUGCAUCCAAAACCCGUGAUAUGAUACGCUCUAUCACACAUAAACCUCCUUAUAUCUUCCUCAAAACAGCCACCAUACCUACCUAUUUAUGGCAUUUCCAUAGCCAUUCCGAGAUAUAUUGCCAUGCAACUUUCCACCGUUCCGUUUAUCAUCAUCAUGCCAUGAAUUACUUUUGAAUAUUGCCAUUGCAUGAUCGUGUAGUUGACAUCGUAUUUGUGGCAAAGCCACCAUGCAUAAUUUUUCAUGCAUGUCACUCUUGAUUCAUUGCACCAUCCCGGUACACCGCCGGAGGCAUUCACAUAGAGUCAUAUCUUGUUCUAGUUUCAAGUUGUAAUUCAUGUGUUGUAAUCAAUAAAAGUGUGAUGAUCAUCAUUAUUAGAGCAUUGCCCAAAAAAAAGAAAAAAGGCCAAAAGAAAAAAAGAAAGGCCAAAGAAAAAAAUAAAAAAAGAAAAGAAAAUAAAUAAAGGGGCAAUGCUACUAUCUCUUUUUCCACACUUGUGCUUCAAAGUAGCACCUUGUUCUUCAUGUAGUAAGUCUCAUAUAUUGUGCUUCAAAGUAGCACCAUGUUUUUCAUAUAGUGAGUCUCAUAUGUUGUCACUUUCAUAUACUACUGGGAAUUUUUCAUUAUAGAACUUGGCUUGUAUAUUCCUACGAUGGGCUUCCUCAAAUGCCCUAGGUCUUCAUGAGCAAGCAAGUUGGAUGCACACGCACUAGUUUUCUUUUGUUGAGCUUUCAUUUAUAGCUCUAGUGCAUCCGUUGCAUGGCAAUCCCUACUCCUCAUGUUGACAUCAAUUGAUGGGCAUCUCCAUAGCCCGUUGAUUAUCCUCGUCAAUGUGAGACUUUCUCUUUUCUUGUCUUCUCCACACAAUCCCCAAUCAUUAUUCUAUUCCACCCAUAGUGCUAUAUCCAUGGCUCACGUUCAUGAAUUGCGUGAAGGUUGAAAAAAUUUGAGAUUAUUUGAGUACGAAACAAUUGCUUGGCUUGUCAUCGGGGGUAUAGAAGUUGGGAACAUCUUUGUGUGACGAAAAUGAAGCAUAGCCUAACUAUAUUGAUUUUGUAGGGAUGAACUUUCUUUAGCCAUGUUAUUUCGGGAAGACAUGUUUGCUUUUUAUUAGUAUGCUUGAAGUAUUACUAUUUCUUUUGUCAAUAUGAACUUUUAUUUUGAAUCAUUUGGAUCUGAACAUUCAUGCCACAAUAAAGAGAAAUUACAUUGAGAAAUUAUGCUAGGUAGCAUUCCACAUCAAAAAUUCUGUUUUUAUCAUUUACCUACUCGAGGACGAGCAGGAAUUAAGCUUGGGGAUACUUGAUACGUCUCCAACGUAUCUAUAAUUUUUUAUUGUUCCAUGCUAUUAUAUUACCUAUUUUGGAUGUUUAUGGGCUUUAUUUUACACAAUUAUAUCAUUUUUGGGACUAACCUACUAACCGAGGCCCAACCCGUAGUGCUGUUUUUUUUGCUUAUUUCAGUAUUUCGAAGAAAAGGAAUAUCAAACGGAGUCCAAACGGAAUGAAACCUUCGGGAGCGUGAUUUUUGAAUAGAACGUGAUCCAGAGGACUUGGAGUGCAAGUCAAGAAGCAGCUGAGGCGGCCACGAGGGUGGAGGGCGCGCCCACCCCUACAGGGCGCGCCCCCUGUCUCGUGGGCCCCUCGGGCGGCCACCGAUGUAGUUCUUCCUCCUAUAUAAGCCUACAUACCCCGAAAACAUCUAGGGAGCCACUGAAGAAAUAUUUCCGCCACCGUAACCUUCUGUAUCCGCGAGAUCCCAUCUUGGAGCCGUCGCCGGCGUUCUGCCGGAGGGGGAAUCCACCACGGAGGGCUUCUACAUCAACACCAUAGCCCUUCCAAUGAGUUGUGAGUAGUUUACCAUAGACCUUCGGGUCCAUAGUUAUUAGCUAGAUGGCUUCUUCUCUAUUUUUGGAUCUCAAUACAAUGUUCUCCCCCUCUCUUGUGGAGAUCUAUUCGAUGUAAACUCUUUUUGCGGUGUGUUUGUCGAGAUCCGAUGAAUUGUGGGUUUAUGAUCAAGUUUAUCUAUGAAUAAUAUUUGAAUCUUCUCUGAAUUCUUUUAUGUAUGAUUGAGUUAUCUUUGCAAGUCUCUUCGAAUUAUCGGUUUGGUUUGGCCUACUAGAUUGAUCUUUCUUGCCAUGGGAGAAGUUCUUAGCUUUGUGUUCAAUCUUGCGGUGUCCUUACCCAGUGACAGAAAGGGUUGCAAGGCACGUAUUGUAUUGUUGCCAUCGAGGAUAAAAAGAUGGGGUUUAUAUCAUAUUGCUUGAGUUUAUCUCUCUACAUCAUGUCAUUUUUCUUAAUGCGUUACUCUGUUCUUAUGAACUUAAUACUCUAGAUGCAUGCUGGAUAGCGGUCAAUCUGUGGAGUAAUAGUAGUAGAUGCAGGCAGGAGUCGGUCUACUUGUCACGGACGUGAUGCCUAUAUACAUGAUCAUGCCUAGAUAAUCUCAUAAUUAUUCGCUUUUCUAUCAAUUGCUCGAAAGUAAUUUGUUCACCCACCAUAAUACUUAUGCUAUCUUGAGAGAAGCCUCUAGUGAAACCUAUGGCCCUCGGGUCUAUCUUUUAUCAUAUAAGAUUUCAAUCUACUUUUAUUUGCAUCUUUAUUUUGUGCAUCUAUAUUAUAAAAUACCAAAAAUAUAUUUAUCUUAUCAUAUUAUCUCUAUCAGAUUUCACUUUCACAAGUGGCCGUGUGUAACAUCCCAAAUUUUCAAUUUGGAAUGUUAUUCAUUAGAUCAUCAUUGCAUAUCAUAUUUUAUUGCAUUUUGGCUUGAUCCUAGAAAUUUUACGCAACUCAAGGACCCACGGAGAGAGUUGGGGAUUUCGUUAUUUUCAUAUUUGAGUUUUCUCAAAUUUUGAAAAUAGGAUAAUUUGAUUUUUAUUAUUUUAUCUUCAAUUAUUUAUAUUAUAAAAUAUGAGAGAGCGAAUAAAAUGACUUUCCCAAAAUAAAGAAAUAUUGCGGAUUUGAUAAUAAAAUCAAAUAUGAUUUUAUUUUGGAGUUUAUUGCUAUUUUAUUUGAAUUUAGGAAAAAUGCGCAUUUUUCAAAAGUGCAUUUAGGCCCCAAAUAAAUGUUCAUCUUGUCCGGCUUGAUUUUAGAAGUCGGGAAAAUUUUAUUUCGGGAUUUUUGGAGUCCGUUUAGUAUUUCCUUUAUUUGUUUUUCUAUGCACAAUGAUUUAAAAAAAACUAACCGACCUAUUGGGCCGUGUCCGCCUAGGACUCUAGGCCCGGCAGGCCUUUAUAAGCCGGGGGAGCCGACCCCACAGCNNNNNNNNNNNNNNNNNNNNNNNNNNNNNNNNNNNNNNNNNNNNNNNNNNNNNNNNNNNNNNNNNNNNNNNNNNNNNNNNNNNNNNNNNNNNNNNNNNNNNNNNNNNNNNNNNNNNNNNNNNNNNNNNNNNNNNNNNNNNNNNNNNNNNNNNNNNNNNNNNNNNNNNNNNNNNNNNNNNNNNNNNNNNNNNNNNNNNNNNNNNNNNNNNNNNNNNNNNNNNNNNNNNNNNNNNNNNNNNNNNNNNNNNNNNNNNNNNNNNNNNNNNNNNNNNNNNNNNNNNNNNNNNNNNNNNNNNNNNNNNNNNNNNNNNNNNNNNNNNNNNNNNNNNNNNNNNNNNNNNNNNNNNNNNNNNNNNNNNNNNNNNNNNNNNNNNNNNNNNNNNNNNNNNNNNNNNNNNNNNNNNNNNNNNNNNNNNNNNNNNNNNNNNNGCCGCCCCCCGCCGGACCCUGACGGAGUAACCCACCGCCGCCGCCGUCACGCAUCCCGAGGUAGCCACCAGUUUUUCUUAUAAAACCGUUCGGUUUUCUUUUUUCAAAACCCUAGAUCCGUUUUUAUUAGAUCCGGUUCGGUUUAUUUUAUUUGCAGUUUAGUCUAUUUAGCGGACGUUCGUCCGUACGUUCGUUUUAACAAACGGUUUUUGUCGUUUAGCCGCAGACAGCGAACGUUCGUUUGUUAGGCUGUUCGUCCAUUUUUUCUUUUUCUCGGAUUUUCUGAGAUUAUUUCUGAUCGCGAUUUCUGAUCCGAUUUUCGUUCUAGUAUAACUUUUGGCUCGUUUAUCGGAAUCAGGCGAUUCAAGCGCUUAGAGUUUCAUCUCGAAACCCUCUUUCCGUUUAACCUACUCAAACAAGUUUUUGCUACUUUAAAAUUUGACUUAGGUCUAGAUUAGUAAACGAAGCUUGUUUCUUUCGCCGUUUGAGUUUCGUUGCUUCGUUUGAUUUGAUUCUUUUUGCAAACCGGAGUUCUUAAGUUGGACUUUCUGGUUAGAUCUCUUAUUUGAGUUUUACCUAUGCAUUAGAUGAGUGCUUAUUGUAUGCUUGUUUGUUUGUGAUAGAGUACCCGGAGUGCGCCGCUUGCUAUUUCGAAUCUCUAGGUUUCACGGAUCAUCAACAAGGCAAGUAACACUUUGAUCAUACCUUUCCAUUACCCAGUUUUAUUGCAUUAGAUCAAUCCUCAAACAAUUGCAUGAUUAGGAUCUGAUUAACAUGUGGGUUUUGGGAAGUAGAUGAGGUAGAACCUAUUACCUGUUUUAUUAUCAAACCCUUGGGAGUUAUUUCUACGUUUUCUUAUAUUGCCAAGCUAUGCUAGUAGACAUGGAUUGGACGAGUGUAUCCAUGACAUAUGCGAGAUUGUUAAAUUAAUGGUUUACUUAAGGUGGCAACUUAAAUUCACAUCUGGGUGGACUGAGGCACCUGGGGAACCCAGUGUUGCCUGUAUUUUUGGAAAUCCCGGGGUACCGUGUGACUGUCCUAAGGACCCCCAGACUCAAAGGGAUCAUGAGAUUAUUCUUGCUAGAAACCCGUGUGCAGCCGCAAGCUACUAUGGGCUCUAGCAUUGUUGAUUAAGUUGCGUGAGCUCUUGAAGAGGUAGACUAGCAGAUGUAGGGGAUGUAGGUUGGUACUGUCUACCCGGAGUAGAGAGUUAAUGCUUCUGAAAGACUGUGUCUCGGUCAUCCGUUUCUCAAACACCAUCUAGUGUGAGAAAUCAAGCGGAGGAGAUCAAGUCUUGCGGGGAAAAGUGCGCAAACCUCUGCAGAGUGUAUAAACUAAUCAUGGUUAGCCAUGUCCCCGGUUAUGGACGUUUUAAGUAUCUAGUACUUGGAUUAUCUUGUGAAUCUCAUCAUGUUACUUAAUUUAAUUUUGUUGGGUUAAUGAUGAUGCUUAAUUGGGAUUGAGUUGGAGUACCCUUCUCAAUGUUUAACAACCAUCAUGAUAGUUAAAUAAAAUUUAUCCCUUUUGCAGUAGGGAAACAUUGGCUUUAUGCAAAACUAUAACCAUAGAGCUUUCCACCAGCCAUAUAUGCAUGUGGUGAUAGCAUUAUUCUGUUCAUUACUCUCUAUGUGUUACAUUGCCAGCAUAUUCCAUGUGCUAACCCGUUUUUGGGCUGCAACGUUCAUGUUGCAGACUUUUUAGAUGAUGAGUAAGGUGCCUUAGGUCGUGGUCUUAUACUCAGUGAUGCCGUUGGAGUUGAUGGACUCGCUUAUCUUCCAAGCCUUCCACUGUUAUCGUUAUUAGAUGGCCUUAAGCCAUAUUUAUUGUACUAAGUUCUCUUUUGAGACAUUCGAUGUAAUAAGUGUGUGAUUGCUACUCUGUUAUAAAUCCUUCAAGUACUGUGCGUGUCAGCAUUACCGAUCUAGGGAUGACACUAAUGCACAGAGAUCAGACUGUUUGAGGUCUGGUCGCUACAAGAUGGUAUCAGAGCACACGCUGACUGUAGGACACAUCCACUAAGCUAAAGCCCUAGAUCACUACCCUCUCUUCUCAUUCUGACUCCUCAUCUUUUCUACUCUUUUAGGAUGGCGGAUGCAAAGAACAAGUUCACACAACCAGAUGAAGAUACGCCCUUUGGACGCCACUUGAAGGAAGUCACUAAGUACCUGAACAUCGGAGUACGAAGCUUCACCAGGACCUACAUCGCCACUUUACCAGAAAAAGAGCGUUGGAUGAUUCAAGUUCAAGUUCCAAGAAGGACGUUCAUGCCCGUCACUGAGCCCAUAGAGUUUUCCUUUGAUGCACCAACCUGGAGUCUAGGAAAGAUUAUGGCAGCUCACAUCACCAUGGGACACAUUGGAGAAGUUUACCACAAGGAUCUCAAGGAUACUAUCUACCAGAUUUGUGGGCGCCGAGAUGAGCAAUGGGAGAUGAUCAGCACCAACAAGGAUAGAUCAAUUGCAGCUUUCAUCCAGGAAUUAAACCAGCACAUUUGUUGCCAGGAGAAUCAGUUGUGCGUAGGCAUGAUAGAUCUGAAGAAGGCAUUGACCAAGAUCAUGGAGCUGGAGUAAGAACUCAAGUCUACGUGCGAUGGAUAUGAGGAGGAAAUAGUGACACUCGUGGAGAAGAAUGAUGAUCUGAAGAAGAAGCUAAAAGUGUUUAUGGGAUUCCCCGCGACUGGAGAAGAAGACAGUGAUUGCACUUUCCCAGAGAACUACAUCAUCAUCGACGACACCGACUCGGACCCAGACGAUAGCAAUGAUGAAUUUGUUGAUGAAGUUGGAGCAGAUAUCAUGGAGUCUUCGACUGAGCAGUUUUUCUAGUUGACCACCAUAACAGUAGUAGUAUUCCCCCAUGUAAAUAGUAUAGUCUCAGCACUUUUGUAACGAUAGUUAGACCGUUGUAUGCCCUUGUUUGAAUUGAUUGAAGUGAUAUUGUUUGCUUUUGUCUCAUGUGCAUAUGGGCAGUGUUUUCUCUCUAGACCUCAUUCUAUUCUGUAUUCUCAUCUUUUCUAAAAACCCUCAGAUGCCUCCGAGACGUGACAAUGGAUUUGCUUUCCCACCGGAGCUCACCCAGUUCAUCCAGCAGCAGAAUGCAUUGAUGCAGAUACUAGCCCAGAAUCAAAAUCAAGGGAACAACAACAAUAACAACCCACCACCACCACCACCUGUUGAUCACUUAGCCCGUUUCUUGAGGCUUAAUCUGCCGGUAUUCUCCAGUAGCACUAAGCCGAUAGUUGCAGAUGAUUGGCUCCGCAAGAUGGGAAGGGAGUUGACCACUAUAGGAUGCAUAGAUGCGGCAAAGGUGCAUUUUGCCACACAUCAGCUUGAUGGACCCGCAGCAUCAUGGUGGGAGAAUUUCACAGCCACUUAUCCUAUAGACACUGUCACAUGGGAUCAGUUCCAGCAGGCUUUCCGUACUGCCCAUGUUUCAGCAGGAGCUAUGGCCAUGAAGAAGCGUGAGUUUCGCAACUUGCGCCAAGGAGGACGUACAGUUGGCCAGUAUGUGGAUGACUUUAGCAAGUUAGCACGUUAUGCCCCAGAUGACGUUGCUACAGAUGCAGCUAAGCAGGAGAAGUUUCUGGAAGGACUGAAUGAUGAGCUGAGCAUGCAGUUGAUGGUAGCAACCUUCAACAAUUACCAGGAGUUGGUAGAUAGAGCUCUUAUGAUUGAAGGGAAGCAGCAGCAGAUUGACAGCCGCAAGAGGAAGUAUGGACAAGGGAAGUACAAUUCUGGAGGUCAGCAGAAGCCUCGUUUUACCCCGAACACGGGAGGACAUUUUCAGCAUACCCAUGGAGGAGGUAGUUUGCAUAACCAUAGUGGCCCCAAGAAUGGUAAUGGGAAUGGAGGAAGCAAGGAACAGAACCGCACCAACCCAUCAACACCAGCCAAGAGGGAUCUGAGCCACAUCACUUGUUACAAAUGCCAGAAGAUCGGACAUUAUGCCACUGAAUGUCCUGAAGCGAAGAAUGGAAAUGGCAAUGGGAGCUCUAGGAAGAAGCCCAACCCUUUCAACAAGGGACAGGUGAACCACGUUAGCGUGGAGGAGGUUGAAGCCCAGCCAGAUGCAGUAAUAGGUAAGUUUUUGGUUAAGACAUUUACUGCAAUCGUUCUUUUUGAUACUGGUGCAUCACAUUCAUAUAUAUCAAGGGGAUUUGUGGAUAAGUAUAAACUGCCAACCCAAGCCCUUAGGUCACCCAUGUUAGUAACCUCGCCAGGAGCAAAGUAUAUGGCUAGUCUAUGGUGUGAUCGGUUACCAUUAAGGAUUGGUAACUACGUGUUUCCCUCAGACCUAAUAGUAUUGGAAUCACAAGGACUGGAUGUAAUAUUAGGCAUGGAUUGGUUAUCUAAGUAUGGAGGGAACAUUGAAUGAGCCAGUAAGUCAAUUUUGCUUACCACGCCAGAAGGAAGAAGGAUCAAGUACGUAUCCUAGCAUGUGCCAAAGAGGACUCAAGUAAAUUCCUUAUCAAGAGUUGUACAUGAGGAAGUACCAGUGGUGAAGGAUUUUCCUAUUGUAUUUCCAGAGGAGUUGCUAGGCAUGCCACCGGAUAGAGACAUUGAGUUUUUGAUUGAGCUUCUGCCAGGCAUAGGGCCGAUAUCUAAGAGACCGUACAGGAUGCCCACAAAAGAUUUAGAGAAAAUUAAGAAGCGGAUUAAGGAGUUACUGGAUAAAGGCUAUAUUCGCCCAAGUUUUUCACCUUGGGGAUCACCAGUGCUUCUAGUGGAGAAGAAGGAUGGAUCAUUAAGGAUGGUUGUUGAUUAUCAAGGAUUGAAUGAAGUGACAAUCAAGAACAAGUACCCACUACCGAUGAUCAAUGAUUUGUUUGACUGAUUGCAAGGAGCUAAGGUAUUUUCCAAGAUCGAUCUGCGAUCAGGAUACCACCAGUUGAAGAUUCGAGAGUAGGAUAUACCUAAGACGACUUUUACCACCAUGUACGAGCUGUAUGAGUAUACCGUUAUGUCAUUUGGUCUGACUAACGUACCUGCCUAUUUCAUGAACAUGAUGAACAAGGUGUUUAUGGAGUUUUUGGAUAAGUUCGCCGUGGUGUUCAUUGAUGAUAUUUUGGUCUACUCAAAGAAUGAAGAAGAGCAUAAGGAGCAUUUGCGUUUGGUACUGGAGGAGCUUAGAGAACAUCAGUUAUAUGCCAAGUUCAGCAAAUAUGAGUUUUGGUUGAAGGAAGUUGGAUUUCUCGGACAUGUGAUAUCCGGAGAAGGAAUAGUAGUAUACCCCACCAAAGUUGUCACUGUGACAAACUAGGAAGCCCCAACGACAGUUGGAGAGAUCCGGAGUUUUCUGGGACUCGUAGGAUACUACCGGAGGUUCAUUGAGAAUUUCUCGAAGAUUGCGAAGCCCAUGACUGAGUUGUUGAAGAAGGACACCAAGUUCAAAUGGACUGAGGAAUGUGAGGCUAGUUUCCAGGAGUUGAAGAAACGUUUGGUUACAUCACCAGUUUUGGUUCUGCCUGAUCAGCGCAAGGAUUAUGAAGUAUAUUGCGACGCUUCUUGUUGAGGACUUGGAGCAGUGCUUAUGCAGGAGGGAAGAGUUGUUUCGUAUGCCUCACGACAGCUUAAACCUCAUGAUUUAAAUUAUGCUACACAUGAUUUGGAGUUAGUAGCCGUAGUGCAUGCAUUGAAGACAUGGAAUCAUUUUCUCAUCGGAAACCAUUGUGAAGUGUACAUGGAUCACAAGAGUUUGAAGUACAUUUUCACGUAGAAGGAGUUGAAUCUCAGGCAAAGGAGAUGGUUGGAGCUCAUCAAGGAUUAUGAUAUGAGAUUGCAUUAUCAUCCAAGAAAGGCUAAUGUAGUAGUCGAUGCAUUGAGCUGCAAGAGCCAUGUCAAUACACUCAUGACCAGAGAGUUACCAAAGGAGUUAGCCGAGGAUCUUCGUGAGCUAUGUUUGGAGAUAGUUCCGAGAGGCUAUGUAGCAGCAUUGGAGAUUCAGUCUACUUUGAUGGAUAAAAUCAGAGAAGCUCAGAAGACUGACAAGGAGAUUGCCGAGAUAAAGGAUAAGAUGAGCAAAGGAAAAGCUAAAGGUUUUCGUGAGGAUGAGCACGAUACCUUAUGGUUUGAGGACCGCGUUUAUGUGCCUAAUGAUCCGGAGAUCAGAAAGUUGAUUCUACAAGAGGGCCAUGAUUCGCCAUACUCGAUUCACCCAGGAAAUACCAAGAUGUACCUGGAUUUGAAGGACACUUUCUGGUGGACCGGAAUGAAGAAGGACAUUGCGGAGUAUGUAGCAGUAUGUGAUGUAUGUCAGAGAGUGAAGGCAGAGCAUCAGAAGCCAGUAGGAUUGUUACAGCCAUUGCCGAUACCCGAAUGGAAGUGGGAUAAGCUAGGCAUGGAUUUUAUCAUGGGAUUGCCCAGGACUCGUUCAGGCUAUGACUAGAUAUGGGUUGUAGUCGAUCGUCUGACGAAGGUAGCUCAUUUCAUCCUAGUAAAGACCACUUACACCAAUGCUAAGUUGGCAAAGAUAUACAUGACCAGGAUCAUAUGUCUGUAUGGAGUUCCGAGGAGCAUUGUAUCAGAUAGAGGAACCCAAUUUACCUCAAAGUUUUGGAAUCAGUUGCACGAAACUUUGGGUACCAGGCUAGACUUCAGUACAACCUUUCAUCCGCAGACAGAUGGAUAGACCGAGAGAGUCAAUCAGAUUCUGGAGGACAUGCUAAGAGCCUGUGCGCUAGAUUAUGGAUCUAGUUGGGACGAGAAUUUGCCGUAUGCGGAGUUCUCUUACAACAACAGUUAUCAAUCCAGUUUGAAGAUGGCCCCUUUCGAAGCUCUGUACGGAAGGAGGUGCAGGACACCGUUGUUGUGGGAUGAAGUUGGAGACCGCCAGUUGUUUGGACCAGAUUUGAUUAAAGAGUCUGAACAGAAGGUGAAGUUAAUUCGCGAUAGGCUCAAGGUAGCCCAGUCCAGACAGAAGAGCUAUGAAGAUUCUAAACGCAAGGAGACAAUUUACGAAGUCGGAGACAGAGUUUAUCUAUGUGUAUCUCCACUUCGAGGAGUUAAGAGCUUUGGAGUUAAGGGAAACUUAGUGCCACGUUUUGUUGGACCAUACAAAGUUUUGGAGCGUAUGGGAGAAGUUGCUUACAAGUUCGAAUUGCCUGAAGGAUUGUCGGGAGUUCACGAUGUGUUCCACGUUUUCCAGUUGAAGAAGUGCCACGCAGAGAUGGCUGAUAUGCCGCUGAGAGAUACCGUGCCACUGGAAGCGAUUCAGUUGGAUAGCGAUUUGACCUAUGAGGAGAAACCAGUCAAGAUUCUCGAGUUUGCCAGCCGAGUCACCCGCAGCAAGGUUAUCAAGUUUUGCAAAGUUCAGUGGAGCCACCAUACCGAGGAUGAGGCCACCUGGGAGCGAGAGGAAGAUCUACUAAAGGACCACCCUCACCUAUUUUCUAGCCAACCCGAAUCUCGAGGGCGAGAUUCAUCUUAAGGGAGGUAGGUUUGUAACAUCCCAAAUUUUCAAUUUGGAAUGUCACACAUUAGAUCAUCAUUGCAUAUCAUAUUUUAUUGCAUUUUGGCUUGAUCCUAGAAAUUUUACGCAACUCAAGGACCCACGGAGAGAGUUGGGGAUUUCAUUAUUUUCAUAUUUGAGUUUUGUCAAAUUUUGGAAAUAGGAUCAUUUGAUUUUAUUAGUUUAUCUUCAAUUAUUUCUAUUAUAAAAUAUGAGAGAGGGAAUAAAAUGACUUUCCCAAAAUAUGAGAGAAGAAAUGUUUAGGAUUUGAUAAUCAAAUCAAAUAAGAUUUAAUUUGGAGUUUAUUGCUAUUUUAUUUGAAUUUAGGAAAGAAUGCGCUUUUCUCAAAAUUGCAUUUAGGCCCCAAAUAAAUGUUCAUCUUGUCCGGCUUGAUUCUAGAAGUCGGGUAAAUUUAUUUCCAGAUUUUUGGAGUCCAUUUAGUAUUUCUUUUAUUUGUUUUUCUGCGCGUAAUGAUUUAAAAAAAACUAACCGACCUACCGGGUCGUGUCCGCCUAGGACUCUAGGCUCGGCCGGCCUUUAUAAGCCGGGGGAGCCAACCCCGCAGCCCACCCGAACCCUAGCGCCGCCCGAGCCCGCCGCCGCCGCCGCCGCGCCACACACCGCCNNNNNNNNNNNNNNNNNNNNNNNNNNNNNNNNNNNNNNNNNNNNNNNNNNNNNNNNNNNNNNNNNNNNNNNNNNNNNNNNNNNNNNNNNNNNNNNNNNNNNNNNNNNNNNNNNNNNNNNNNNNNNNNNNNNNNNNNNNNNNNNNNNNNNNNNNNNNNNNNNNNNNNNNNNNNNNNNNNNNNNNNNNNNNNNNNNNNNNNNNNNNNNNNNNNNNNNNNNNNNNNNNNNNNNNNNNNNNNNNNNNNNNNNNNNNNNNNNNNNNNNNNNNNNNNNNNNNNNNNNNNNNNNNNNNNNNNNNNNNNNNNNNNNNNNNNNNNNNNNNNNNNNNNNNNNNNNNNNNNNNNNNNNNNNNNNNNNNNNNNNNNNNNNNNNNNNNNNNNNNNNNNNNNNNNNNNNNNNNNNNNNNNNNNNNNNNNNNNNNNNNNNNNNNNNNNNNNNNNNNNNNNNNNNNNNNNNNNNNNNNNNNNNNNNNNNNNNNNNNNNNNNNNNNNNNNNNNNNNNNNNNNNNNNNNNNNNNNNNNNNNNNNNNNNNNNNNNNNNNNNNNNNNNNNNNNNNNNNNNNNNNNNNNNNNNNNNNCGCCAACCGCUGCCGGACCCCGCCCCCUCGCCGCCGACCGCCGCCGCCCCGCCGGACCCCGCCGGAGUAACCCGCCGCCGCCGCCGUCACGCAUCCCGAGGUAGCCGCUGGUUUUUCUUAUAAAACCAUUCGGUUUUCUUUUUUCAAAACCCUAGAUCCGUUUUUAUUAGAUCCAGUUCGGUUUAUUUUAUUUGCGGUUUAGUCUAUUUAGCGGACGUUCGUCCGUAUGUUCGUUUUAACAAACGGUUUUCGUCGUUUAGCCGCAGACAGCGAACGUUCGUUCGUUAGCCUAUUCGUCCGUUUUUUAUUUUUCUCAGAUUUUCCGCGAUUAUUUCCGAUCGCGAUUUCUGAUCCGAUUUUCGUUCUAUAUAACUUUUCGCUCGUUUAUCGGAAUCAGGCAAUUCAAGCGCCUAGAGUUUCAUCUCGAAACCCUUUUUUUGUUUAACCUACUGAAACAAGUUUUUGCUACUGUAAAAUUUGACUUAGGUCCAAAUUAGUAAACAAAGCUUGUUUCUUUCGUCGUUUGAGUUUCGUUGCUUCGUUUGAUUUGAUUCUUUUUGCAAACCGGAGUUCUUAAGUUGGAAUUUCUGGUUAGAUCUCUUAUUGGAGUUUUACAUAUGCAUUAGAUGAGUGCUUAUUGUAUGCUUGUUUUUUUGCGAUAGAGUACCCGGAGUGCGCCGCUUGCUACUUCGAAUCUCUAGGUUUGACGGAUCAUCAGCAAGGCAAGUAACACUUUGAUCAUACCUAUCCAUUACCCAGUUUUAUUGCAUUAGAUCAAUCCUCAAACAAUUGCAUGAUUAGGAUCUGAUUAACAUGUGGGUCUUGGGAAGUAGAUGAGGUAGAACCUAUUACCUGUUUUAUUAUCAAACCCUUGGGAGUUACUUCUACGUUUGCUUAUAUUGCCAAACUAUGCUAGUAGACGUGGAUUGGAUGAGUGUAUCCAUGACAGAUGAGAGAUUGUUAAAUUAAUGGUUUACUUAAGGUGGCAACUUAAAUUCACAUCUGGGUGGAUUGAGGCACCUGGGGAACCCAGUGUUGCUUGUAUUUUUGGAAAUCCUGGGGUACCGUGUGAUUCUCCUAUGGACCGCCACCCAGACUCAAAGGGAUCAUGAGAUUAUUUUUGCUAGAAGCUUUCGUGUGCAGCCGCAAGCUACUAUGGGCUCUAGCAUAGUUGAUUAAGUUGUGUGAGCUCUUGAAGAGGUAGACUAGCAGAUGUAGGGGAUGUAGGUUGGUACUGUCUACCCGGAGUAGAGAGUUAAUGCUUCUGAAAGACUGUGUCUCGCUCAUCCGUUUCUCAAACACCAUAUAGUGCGAGAAAUCAAGCGGAGGAGAUCGAGUCUGGCGGGGAAAAGUGCGCAAACCUCUGCAGAGUGUAUAAACUAAUCAUGGUUAGCCGUGUCCCCGGUUAUGGACGUUUUGAGUAUCUAGUACUUGGAUUAUCAUGUGAAUCUCAUCAUGUUACUUAAUUUAAUUUUGUUGGGUUAAUGAUGAUGCUUAAUUGGGAUUGAGUUGGAGUACCCUUCUCAAUGUUUAACAACCACCAUGAUAGUUAAAUAAAAUUUAUUCCUUUUGCAGUAGGGAAACAUUGGCUUUAUGCAAAACUAUAACCAUAGAGCUUUCCACCAGCCAUAUAUGCAUGUAGUGAUAGCAUUAUUCUGUUCAUUACUCUCUAUGUGUUACAUUGCCAGCAUAUUCCAUGUGUUGACCCGUUUUCAGGCUGCAACGUUCAUGUUGCAGACUUUUCAGACGACGAGUAAGGUGCCUUAGGUCGUGGUCUUAUACUCAGUGAUGCCGUUGGAGUUGAUGGACUCGCUUAUCUUCCAAGCCUUCCGCUGUUAUCGUUAUUAGAUGGCCUUAAGCCAUAUUUAUUGUACUAAGUUCUCUUUUGAGACAUUCGAUGUAAUAAGUGUGUGAUUGCUACUUUGUUAUAAAUCCUUCAAGUACUGUGCAUGUCAGCAUUACCGAUCCAGGGAUGACACUGAUGCACAGAGAUCAGACUGUCUGAGGUCUGGUCGCUAGAUUGACAACCCCUUUAUCGCGUUGGUUGCGAGUUCUUUGCUUGUUUGUGUAGGUUCGUGGGACUUGUGAGGAGCCUCCUACUGGAUUGAUACCUUGGUUCUCAAAAACUGAGGGAAAUACUUACGCUACUGUGCUGCAUCACCCUUUCCUCUUCAAGGAAAACCAACGCAAGCUCAAGACGUAGUAGGGCUUCGCCAAGCACUACAAAGGAUCAAGAUGUGGAGAGGUAGGGCUGCACAGAGAGAGAGAGAGACUCGUGUCUUUGGUAGCCCCAAAACCCCCACUAUAUAUAGGAGGAGGGGAGAUGGCUGUGCCCCCUCUAGGCUUCCCACCCUAGGGGGUGCGGCAGCCCUAGAUGGGACUGGUGGGGGCGGCCAAGAGGGGGAGAAAAGGGGAGCGCGCCCUAGGGUGUGCCUUUAGGCCCAUUUGCGCCUAGGGUUUCCCCUCUCUCCUCCUAGCUACGCCUUGGGCCUUCGUGGGAGGCGCACCAGCCCACUCAGGGGCUGGUCCCUUCCCACUCUUGGCCCAUGCAAGCCUUCGGGGCUGGUGGCCCCUCCCGGUGGACCCCCGGAACCCUUCCGAUGGUCCCGGUACAUUACCGGUGACGCUCGAAAUACUUCCGGUGGCCAAAAGCUCACUUCCUAUAUAUUAUCUCCGGACCAUUUCGGAACUCCUCGUGACGUCCGGGAUCUCAUCCGGAACUCCGAACAACAUUAGGUAACCACAUACAAACUUUCUCUAUAACCCUAGCAUCAUUGAACCUUAAGUGUGAAGACCCUACGGGUUCGGGAGUCAUGUAGACAUGACCGAGACAUCUCUCCGGUCAAUAACCAACAGCGGGAUCUGGAUACCCAUGUUGGCUCCCACAUGUUCCAUGAUGAUCUCAUCGGAUGAACCAGGAUGUCGGGGAUUCAAGCAAUCUCGUAUACAAUUCCCUUUGUCAAUCGGUGCGUUACUUGCCCGAGAUUCGAUCGUCCGUACCCCAAUACCUCGUUCAAUCUCGUUACCGGCAAGUCACUUUACUCGUUCCGUAAUGCAUGAUCGCGUGACUAACUACUUAGUAACACCGAGCUCAUUAUGAUGAUGCAUUACCGAGUGGGCCCUGAGAUACCUCUCCGUCAUAUGGAGUGACAAGUCCCAGUCUUGAUUCGUGCCAACCCAACAGACACUUUCAGAGAUGCCUGUAGUGUACCUUUAUAGCCACCCAGUUACGUUGUGACGUUUGGUACACCCAAAGCAUUCCUACGGUAUGUGGGAGUUACACAAUCUCAUGGUCUAAGAAAAUGAUACUUGACAUGAGGAAAGCUUUUAGCAAACGAACUGCACGAUCUUGUGCUAUGCUUAGGAUUGGGUCUUGUCCAUCACAUCAUUCUCCCAAUGAUGUGAUCCCGUUAUCAAUGACAUCCAAUGCCCAUGGUCAGGAAACCAUAACCAUCUGUUGAUCAACGAGCUAGUCAACUAGAGGCUCACUAGGGACAUGUUGUGGUCUAUGUAUUCACACAUGUAUAACGGUUUCCGGUCAAUAAAAUUAUAGCAUGAACGAAAGACAAUUAUCCUGAACAAGGAAAUAUAAUAAUAACCAUUUUAUUAUUGCCUCUAGGGCAUAUUUCCAACAGUCUCCCACUUGCACUAGAGUCAAUAAUCCAGUUACAUUGUGAUGAAUCGAACACCCAUAGAGUUCUGGUGUUGAUCAUGUUUUGCUCGUGGAAGAGGUUUAGUGAACGGAUCUGCGACAUUCAGAUCCGUAUGCACUUUACAAAUAUCUAUGUCUCCAUCUUGAACAUUUUCAUGAAUGGAGUUGAAGCGACGCUUGAUAUGCCUUGUCUUCUUGUGAAACCUGGGCUCCUUGGCAAGGGCAAUAGCACCAGUGUUGUCACAGAAGAGAGUCGUCGGGCCCGACACAUUGGGAAUAACUCCUAGGUUGGUAAUGAACUCCUUCAUCCAUAUUGCUUCAUGUGUUGCCUCCGAGGCUGCCAUGUACUCUGCUUCACAUGUAGAUCCCGCCACGAUGCUUUGCUUGCAACUGCACCAGCUCACUGCCCCACCAUUCAAAAUAUACACGUAUCCGGUUUGUGACUUGGAGUCGUCGAGAUCUAUGUCGAAGCUAGCAUCGACGUAACCCUUUACGACGAGCUCUUCGUCACCUCCAUAAACGAGAAACAUAUCCUUAGUCCUUUUCAGGUACUUCAGGAUAUUCUUGACUGUUGUCCAGUGUUCCAUGCCAGGAUUACUUUGGUAUCUCCCUACCAAACUUACGGCAAUGUUUACCUAUGGUUGAGGCAUAGGGGAUGACACUCAUCUUUUCUCUAUCUUCUGUCGUGGUCGGCUUUGAGCCAUGCUCAAUCUCACACCUUGCAAAACAGGCAAGAACCCCUUCUUGGACUGAUCCAUAUUGAACUUCUUCAAUAUCUUAUCAAGGUAUGUGCUUUGUGAAAGACCUAUGAGGCGCCUCGAUCUAUCGCUAUAGAUCUUGAUGCCUAAUAUGUAAGUAGCUUCUCCAAGGUCCUUCAUUGAAAAACACUUAUUCAAGUAGGCCUUUAUGCUUUCCAAAAGUUCUAUAUCAUUUCCCAUCAAUAGUAUGUCAUCCACAUAUAAUAUGUGAAAUGCUACAGAGCUCCCACUCACUUUCUUGUAAAUGCAGGCUUCUGAAUAAGUCUGCAUAAACCCAAACACUUUGAUCAUUUCAUCAAAGCAAAUGUUCCAACUCCGAGAUGCUUGCACUAGCCCAUAGAUGGAGCGAUGGAGCUUGCAUACCUUGUUAGCAUUCUUAGGAUCGACAAAACCUUCCAGCUACAUCAUAUACAGUUCUUCCUUAAGGAAGCCGUUAAGGAAUGCCAUUUUGAUGUCCAUUUGCCAUAUCUCAUAAUCAUAGAAUGCAUCAAUUGCUAACAUGAUUCAGACGACUUCAGCUUCACUACGGGUGAGAAGGUCUCAUCGUAGUCAACCCCUUGAAAUUGUCGAUAACCCUUAGCGACAAGUCGAGCUUUAUAGAUGGUAACAUUACCAUCCACAUCCGUCUUCUUCUUAAAGAUCCAUUUAUUUUCUAUCACUCGCCGAACAUUGGGCAAGUCUGUCAAAGUCCAUACUUUGUUUUCAUACAUGGAUCCUAUCUCGGAUUGCAUGGCUUCAAGCCAUUUGUUGGAAUCUGGGCCCGCCAUCGCUUCUUCAUAGUUCGAAGGUUCACUGUUGUCUAACAACAUGAUUUCCAGGAUAGGGUUGCCAUACCAUUCUGGUGUGGAACAUGUCCUUGUGGACCUAUGAAUUUCAGUAGCAACUUGAUCCGAAGUACCUUGAUCAUCAUCAUUAACUUCCUUUCUAGUCGGUGCAGGCACCCCAGAAAUAUUUUCCUAAGCUGCUCUACUUUCCGGUUCAAGAGGCAGUACUUCAUCAAGUUCUACUUCCCUCCCACUUACUUCUUUCGAGAGAACUCUUUCUUCAAAAAGGAUCCGUUCUUGGCAACAAAGAUCUUGCGUUCGGAUCUGAGGUAGAAGGUAUAACCAAUGGUUUCCUUAGGGUAUCCUAUGAAGAUGCAUUUUUCCGACUUGGGUUUGAGCUUUUCAGGUUGAAGUUUCUUGACAUAAGCAUCGCAUCCCCAAACCUUUAGAAAUGACAGCUUAGGUUUCUUCCUAAACCAUAAUUCAUACGGUGUCGUCUCAAUGGAUUUAGACGGUGCCCUAUUUAAAGUGAAUGUGGCUGUCUCUAAAGCGUAUCCCCAAAAUGAUAGCAGCAAAUUGGUAAGAGACAUCAUAGAUCGCAACAUAUCUAAUAGAGUGCGAUUACGAUGUUCAGACACACCAUUACGCUAAGGUGUUCCAGGCGGCGUGAGUUGUGAAACAAUUCCACAUAUCCUUAAGUGUGUACCAAAUCCGUGACUCAAAUAUUCUCCCCCACGAUCUGAUCGUAAGAACUUUAUUUUCCUGUCACGUUGAUUCUCUACCUCACUCUGAAAUUCCUUGAACUUUUCAAAGGUCUCAGUAGACAUACCCAUAUCUACGUAAGUCAUCAGUGAGGGUGAGAACAUAAUGAUAGCCGCCACGAGCCUCAACGCUCAUUGGACCGCACACAUCAGUGUGUAUGAUUUCCAACAAGUUGGUUGCUCGCUCCAUUGUUCCGGAGAACGGAGUCUUGGUCAUCUUGCCCAUGAGGCAUGGUUUGCAUGUGUCAAAUGAUUCAUAAUCAAGAGACUCCAAAAGCCGGUCUGUAUGGAGCUUCUUCAUGCAUUUGACACCAAUGUGACCAAGGCGGCAGUGCCACAAGUAUGUGGGACUAUCAUUAUUAACCUUACAUAAUUUGGUACUCACACUAUGAAUAUGUGUAACAUCACGUUCGAGAUUCAAUAAGAAAAAACCAUUGACCAACGGGGCAUGACCAUAAAACAUAUCUCUUAAAUAAAUAGAACAACCAUUAUUCUCGGAUUUAAAUGAGUAGCCAUCUUGCAUUAAACGAGAUUCAGAUACAAUGUUCAUGCUCAAAGCUGGCACUAAAUAACAAUUAUUGAGGUUUAAAACUAAUCCCAUAGGUAAAUGUAGAGGUAGCGUGCCGAUGGCGGUCACAUCGACCUUGGAACCAUUUCUGAUGCGCAUCGUCACCUCGUCCUUCGCCAGUCUCCGCUUAUUCUGCAGCUCCUGUUUUGAAUUACAAAUAUGAGCAACCGCACCGGUAUCAAAUACCCAGGAGCUACAACGAGUACUGGUAAGGUACACAUCAAUAACAUGUAUAUCACAUAUACCUUUGGUGUUGCCGGCCUUUUUCCGCUAAGUACUUGGGGCAGUUCUGCUUCCAGUGACCAUUUCCCUUGCAAUAAAAGCACUGAGUCUCGGGCUUGGGUCCAUUGUUUGGCUUCUUCUUCCCGGCAACUGAUUUACCAGGCGCGGCAACUCCCUUGCCGUCCUUCUUGAAGUUCUUUUUACCCUUGACUUUCUUGAAACUAGUGGUCUUAUUCACCAUCAACACUUGAUGUUCCUUUUUGAUUUCCACCUUCGCUGAUUUCAGCAUCGAAUAUAACUCGGGAAUGGACUUCUCCAUCCCUUGCAUAUUAUAGUUCAUCACAAAGCUCUUGUAGCUAGGUGGGGGCGACUUGAGGAUCCUGUCAAUAACCGAGUCAUCUGGGAGAUUAACUCCCAACUAAGACAAACGGUUGUGUAACCCGGACAUAGUGAGUAUAUGCUCACUGACAUAACUGUUUUCCUCCCUCUUACAACUAUAGAACUUGUCGGAGACUUCAUAUCUCUCGACCCGGGCAUGAACUUGGAAAACCAUUUUCAGCUCUUGGAACAUCUCAUAUGCUCCGUGCUGCUCAAAACGCUUUUGGAGCCCAGGUUCUAAGUUGUAAAGCAUGUCGCAUUGAACUAGGGAGUAAUCAUCACUACGUGACUGCCAGGCGUUCAUAACGUCUUGAGUUGCUGGGAAAAUGGGUGCUUCACCUACGGUGCUUCUAGGACAUAUGCUUUCUUGGCAGCUAUGAGGAUGAUCCUCAAGUUCCGGACCCAGUCCGUAUAGUUGCUACCAUCGUCUUUCAGCUUGGUUUUCUCUAGGAACGCGUUGAAUUUGAGGGCAACAUUAGCAUGGGCCAUUUGAUCUACAAGACAUAUUGCAAAGAUUUUAGACUAAGUUCAUGAUAAUUAAGUUCAUCUAAUCAAAUUAUUUAAUGAACUCCCACUCGGAUAGACAUCCCUCUAGUCAUCUAAGUGAUACAUGAUCCGAGUCAACUAGGCCGUGUCCGAUCAUCACGUGAGACGAAUAGUCAUCAUCGGUGAACAUCUUCAUGUUGAUCAUAUCUGCUAUACAACUCAUGUUCAAUCUUUCGGUCUCUUGUGUUCCGAGGCCAUGUCUGUACAUGCUAGGCUCGUCAAGUCAACCUAAGUGUUUUGCAUGUGUAAAUCUGGCUUACACCCGUUGCAUGCGAACGUUAGAAUCUAUCACACCGAUCAUCACGUGGUGCUUCGAAACAACGAACUUUCGCAACGGUGCACAGUUAGGGGGAACACUUUCUUGAAAUUUUAUGAGGGAUCAUCUUAUUUAUGCUACCGUCGUUCUAAGCAAAUAAUAUGUAAAAUAUGAUAAACUUCACAUGCAAUCAAAUAGUGACAUGAUAUGGCCAAUAUGAUUUUGCUCCUUUUGAUCUCUAUCUUCGGGGCGCCAUGAUCAUCAUCGUCACCGGCAUGACACCAUGAUCUCCAUCAUUGUGUCUUCAUGAAGUUGUCUCGCCAACUGUUACUUCUACUACUAUGGCUAACGGUUAGCAAUAAAGUAAAGUAAUUACAUGGCGUUUUCAUUGACACGCAUGUCAUACAAUAAUUAAGACAACUCCUAUGGCUCCUGUCGGUUGUCAUACUCAUCGACAUGCAAGUCAUGAUUCCUGUUACAAGAAAAUUAUCAAUCUCAUACAUCACAUAUAUCAUUCAUCACAUCCUUUUGGCCAUAUCACAUCACACGGCAUAUGCUGCAAGAACAAGUUAGACGUCCUCUAAUUGUUGUUACAAGUUUUUACGUGGCUGCUAUAGGUUUCUAGCAAGAACGUUUCUUACCUACGCCAAAACCACAACGUGAUAUGCCAAUUGCUAUUUACCCUUCUUAAGGACCCUUUUCAUCGAAUCCGAUCCGACUAAAGUGGGAGAGACAGACACCCGCUAGCCACCUUAUGCAACUAGUGCAUGUCAGUCGGUGGAACCUAUCUCACGUAAGCGUACGUGUAAGGUCGGUCCGGGCCGCUUCAUCCCACGAUGCCGCCGAAUCAAGAUAAGGCUAGUAACGACAAGUAAAUUGACAAAAUCGACUCCCACAACAACUUGUGUUCUAUGAAAGAAAUAUGCCCUAGAGGCAAUAAUAAAGUUAUUAUUUAUUUCCUUAUUUCAUGAUAAAUGUUUAUUAUUCAUGCUAGAAUUGUAUUAACCGGAAACAUAAUACAUGUGUGAAUACAUAGACAAACAUAGUGUCACUAGUAUGCCUCUACUUGACUAGCUCGUUAAUCAAAGAUGGUUAAGUUUCCUAACCAUAGACAUGAGUUGUCAUUUGAUUAACAGGAUCACAUCAUUAGAAGAAUGAUGUGAUUGACUUGACCCAUUCCGUUAGCUUAGCACUUGAUCAUUUAGUAUGUUGCUAUUGCUUUCUUCAUGACUUAUACAUGUUCCUGUGACUAUGAGAUUAUGCAACUCCCGUUUACCGGAGGAACACUUUGUGUGCUACCAAACGUCACAACAUAACUGGGUGAUUAUAAAGGAGCUCUACAGGUGUCUCUGAAGGUACAUGUUGGGUUGGCGUAUUUCGAGAUUAGGAUUUGUCACUCCGAUUGUCGGAGAGGUAUCUCUGGGCCCUCUCGGUAAUGCACAUCACUAUAAGCCUUGCAAGCAAUGUAGCUAAUGAGUUAGUUACGGAAUGAUGCAUUACGUAACGAGUAAAGAGACUUGCCGGUAACGAGAUUGAACUAGGUAUUGGAUACCGACGAUCGAAUCUCGGGCAAGUAACAUACCGAUGACAAAGGGAACAACGUAUGUUGUUAUGCAGUCUGACCGAUAAAGAUCUUCGUAGAAUAUGUGGAAGCCAAUAUGAGCAUCCAGGUUCCGCUAUUGGUUAUUGACCGGAGACAUGUCUCGGUCAUGUCUACAUUGUUCUCGAACCUGUAGGGUCCGCAUGCUUAAGGUUUCGAUGACAUUUUCAUUAUGAGUUUAUAUGUUUUGAUGUACCGAAGGUUGUUCGGAGUCCCGGAUGUGAUCACGGACAUGACGAGGAGUCUCUAAAUGGUCGAUACAUAAAGAUUGAUAUAUUGGAAGCCUAUAUUUGGAUAUCGAAAUUGUUCCGGGAGAAAUCGGGAUUUUUUCGGAGUACCGGGGGGUUACAGGAACCCACCCCCAGGGGGUAAUGGGCCUACAUGGGCCCUAAGGGAGAAGAGGAGGGCCGGCCAGGGCAGGCCGCGCGCCGCCUCCCCCUAGUCCGAAUAGGACAAGGAAGGGGGGGGCGGCGCCCCCCUUUCCUCUUUCCCCUUCCCCCUUUCCUUCUCCUACAAGGCAAGAGGGGGGAGUCCUACUCCCGGUGGGAGUAGGACUCCUCCAGCCGCACCCCUAGGGGCUGGCCGUACCUCCCCCCUCCCUCCUUUAUAUACGGGGGCAGGGGGCACCCCAUAACACACAAGUUGAUCUUCGUGAUCGUUCCUUAGCCGUGUGCGGUGCCCCCCUCCACCAUAUUCCACCUCGGUCAUAUUGUUGCGGUGCUUAGGCGAAGCCCUGCGUCGGUAGAACAUCAUCAUCGUCACCAUGCCCUCAUGCUGACGAAACUCAUCCCCGACACCCUGCGGGAUCGGAGUCCGGGGAUUAUCAUCGAGCUGAACGUGUGCUGAACUCGGAGGUGCCGUACGUUCGGUACUUGGAUCGGUCGGAUCGUGAAGAUGUACGACUACAUCAACCGCGUUGUCAUAACGCUUCCGCUUUCGGUCUACGAGGGUACGUGGACACACUCUCCCCUCUCGUUGCUAUGCAUCACCAUGAUCUUGCAUGUGCGUAGGAAAUUUUUGAAAUUACUAUGUUCCCCAACAGUGGCAUCUGAGCCUAGGUUUUAUGCGUUGAUGUUAUAUGCACGAGUAGAACACAAGUGAGUUGUGGGCGAUACAAGUCAUACUGCUUACUAGCAUGUCAUACUUUGGUUCGGCGGUAUUGUUGGAUGAAGCGGCCCGGACCGACAUUACGCGUACGCUUACGCGAGACUGGUUCUACCGACGUGCUUUGCACACAGGUGGUUGGCGGGUGUCAGUUUCUCCAACUUUAGUUGAACCGAGUGUGGCUACGCCCGGUCCUUGAGAAGGUUAAAACAUCACUAACUUGACGAACUAUCGUUGUGUUUUUGAUGCGUAGGUAAGAACGGUUCUUGCUCAGCCCGUAGCAACCACGUAAAAUUUGCAACAACACAGUAGAGGACAUCUAACUUGUUUUUGCAGGGCAUGUUGUGAUGUGAUAUGGUCAAGAUGUGAUGCUAUAUUUUACUAUAUGAGAUGAUCAUGUUUUGUAACCGAAGUUAUCGGCAACUGGCAGGAGCCAUAUGGUUGUCGCUUUAUUGUAUGAAAUGCAAACGCCCUGUAAUUGCUUUACUUUAUCACUAAGCGGUAGCGAUAGUCGUAGAAGCAAUAGAUGGCGUACGACAGCGAUGCUACGAUGGAGAUCAAGGUGUCGCGCCGAUGACGAUGGUGAUCACGACGGUGCUUCAGAGAUGGAGAUCACAAGCACAAGAUGAUGAUGGUCAUAUCAUAUCACUUAUAUUGAUUGCAUGUGAUGUUUAUCCUUUAUGCAUCUUAUCUUGCUUUGAUUGAUGGUAGCAUUUUAAGAUGAUCUCUCACUAAAUUAUCAAGAAGUGUUCUCCCUGAGUAUGCACCGUUCUGAAAGUUCUUCGUGCUGAGACACCACGUGAUGAUCGGGUGUGAUAGGCUCUACGUUCAAAUACAACGGGUGCAAAACAGUUGCACACGCGAAAUACUCAGGUUAAACUUGACGAGCCUAGCAUAUACAGAUAUGGCCUCGGAAUACAGAGGCUGAAAGGUCGAGCGUGAAUCGUAUAGUAGAUAUGAAACAUAGUGAUGUUCACCAUUGAAAACUACUCCAUCUCACGUGAUGAUCGGACAUGGUUUAGUUGAUUUGGAUCACGUGAUCACUUAGAUGACUAGAGAGAUGUCUGUCUAAGUGGGAGUUCUUAAGUAAUAUGAUUAAUUGAACUUAAAUUUAUCAUGAACUUAGUCCUGGUAGUAUUCUGCAAAUUAUGUUGUAGAUCAAUAGCUUGCGUUGUUGCUUUCAUAUGUUUAUUUUGAUAUGUUCCUAGAGAAAAAUUGUGUUGAAAGAUGUUAGUAGCAAUGAUGCGGAUUGGAUCCUUGAUCUGAGGAUUAUCCUCAUUACUGCACAGAAGAAUUAUGUCCUUAAUGCACCGCUAGGUGACAGACCUAUUGCAGGAGCAGAUGCAGAUGUUAUGAACGUUUGGCUAGCUCAAUAUGAUGACUACUUGAUAGUUUAGUGCACCAUGCUUAACAGCUUAGAAUCGGGACUUCAAAGAUGUUUUGAACGUCAUGGACCAUAUGAAAUGUUCCAGGAGUUGAAGUUAAUAUUUCAAGAAAAUACCCGAGUUGAGAGAUAUGAAGUCUCCAACAAGUUAUAUGGCUAAAAAAUGGAGGAGAAUCGCUCAACUAGUGAGCAUGUGCUUAGAUUGUCUGGGUACUACAAUCGCUUGAAUCAAGUGGGAGUUAAUCUUCCAGAUAAGAUAGUGAUUGACAGAGUUCUCUAGUCACCAUCACCAAGUUAGUAGAACUUUGUGAUCAACUAUAGUAUGCAAGGGAUGACGAAAGCGAUUCCCGAGCUCUUCGUGAUGUUGAAAUCGACGAAGGUAGAAAUCAAGAAAGAGCAUCAAGUGUUGAUGGUUAACAAGAUCACUAGUUUCAAGAAAAAGGCAAAGGGAAAGAAAUGGGAACUUCAAGUAGAAUGACAAGCAAGUUGUCACUCCCACGAAGAAGCCCAAAGCUGAACCAAAGCCUGAAACUGAGUGCUUACACUGUAAAGGAAAUGGUCACUGGAAACGGAAAUACCCUCAAUAUUUGGUGGAUAAGAAGGAUGUAAGAGUGAACAAGGGUAUAUUUGAUAUACAGAUUAUUGAUGCGUACCUUACUAGUGUUUAUAGUAGCCCCUGAGUAUUUGAUACUUGUUCGGUUGCUAAAAAUUAGUGACUCAAAACAGGAGUUACAGAAUAAACAGAGACUAGUUGAGGGUGAAGUGACGAUGUGUAUUGGAAGUGGUUCCAAGAUUGAUAUGAUCAUCAUCGCACACUCCCUAUACUUUUGGGAUUAGUGUUAAACCUAAAUAAAUAUUAUUUGGCGUUUGUGUUGAACAUGAAUAUGAUUUGAUCAUGUUUAUUGCGAUAGGUUAUUCAUUUAAAAUCAAAGAAUAAUUGUUGUUCUGUUUACAUGAAUAAAACCUUCGAUGGUUAUACACCCAAUGAAAAUAGUUUGUUGGAUCUCGAUCAUAGUGAUACACAUAUUCAUAAUAUUGAUGCCAAAAGAUGCAAAGUUAAUAAUGAUAGUGCAACUUAUUUGUGGCACUGCCGUUUGGGUCAUAUCGGUAUAAAGCGCAUGAAGAAACUCCAUAAAGAUGGAUUUUUGGAAUCACUUGGUUAUGAAUCAUUUGAUGCUUGCGAACUGUGCCUUUUGGGCAAGAUGACUAAAACUCCGUUCUCCGGAACAAUGGAACGAGCUAGUGACUUAUUGGAAAUAAUACAUACCGAUGUAUGCGGUCCAAUGAGUGUUGAUGCUCGUGGCAGGUAUCGUUAUUUUCUGACCUUCAUAAGAUGAUUUGAGCAGAUAUGAGUAUAUCUACUUAAUGAAGCACAAGUCUGAAACAUUUGAAAAGUUCAAAGAAUUUCAGAGUGAAGUGGAGAAUCAUCGUAACAAGAAAAUAAAGUUUCUACGAUUUGAUCGUGGAGACGAAUAUUUGAGUUACGAGUUUGGUCUUCAAUUAAAAACAAUGUGGAAUAGUUUCACAAACUCAUGCCACCUGGAACACUACAGAAUUAUGGUGUGUCCGAACGUCGUAACCGCACUUUAUUGGAUAUGGUGCGAUCUAUGAUGUCUCUUAUCGGUUUACCACUAUCGUUUUGGGGUUACGCAUUAGAGACAGCUACAUUCACGUUAAAUAGGGCACCAUCAAAAUCCGUUGAGACGACGCCUUAUGAACAGUGGUUUGGCAAGAAACCAAAGUUGUCGUUUCUUAAAGUUUUGGGCUGCGAUGCUUAUGUGAAAAAGUUUCAACCUGAUAAGCUUGAACCCAAAUCAGAGAAGUAUGUCUUCAAAGAAUAGCCAAAGGUAACUAUUGGGUACACCUUCUAUCACAGAUCCAAAGGCAAGUUAUUCGUUGCUAAGAUGGAUCCUUUCUAGAGAAGAAGUUUCUCUCGAAAGAAGUGAGUAGGAGGAAAGUAGAACUUGAUGAGGUAAUUGUAUCUUCUCCCAAAUUGGAAAGUUGUUCAUCACAGAAAUCAGUUCCAGUGAUUGCUACACCAAUUAGCGAGGAAGCUAAUGAUGAUGAUCAUGAAACUUCAGAUCAAGUUGCUACCAAACCUCGUAGGUCUUCCAGAGUAAGAUCCGCACCAGAGUGGUACGGUAAUCCUGUCCUGGAAGUCAUGUUACUAGACCAUGAUGAACCUACGAACUAUGAGGAAGCGACGAUGAGCCCAGAUUCCACGAAAUGGCUUGAGGCCAUAAAAUCUAAGAUGAGAUCCAUAUAUGAGAACAAAGUAUGGACUUUGAUUGACUUGCUCGAUGAUCAGCAAGCCAUGUUAAAUAAAUGGAUCUUCAAGAGGAAGACGGACACUGAUAGCAGUGUUACUAUCUACAAAGAUCGACUUGUUGUGAAAGGUUUUUCGACAAGUUCAAGGUGUUGAAUACAAUGAGAUUUUCUCACUCGUAUCGAUGCUUAAGUCUGUCCGAAUCAUAUUAGCAAUUGCCACAUUUUAUGAAAUCUGGCAAAAGGAUGUCAAAACUGCAUUCCUUAAUGAAUUUAUUAAAGAAGAGUUGUAUAUUAUGCAACCAGAAGGUUUUGUCAAUCCUAAGGGUGCUAACAAAGUGUGCAAGCUCCAGCGAUCCAUUUAUGGACUGGUGCAAGCCUCUCGGAGUUGGAAUAUACACUUUGAUGAGUUGAUCAAAGCAUAUGGUUUUAUACAGACUUUUUGAGAAGCUUGUAUUUACAAGAAAGUGAGUGGGAGCUCUGUAGCAUUUCUAAUAUUAUAUGUGGAUGACAUAUUGUUGAUUGGAAAUGAUAUAGAAAUUCUGGAUAGCAUGAAAGGAUACUUGAAUAAGAGUUUUUCAAAGCAAGAACUCGGUGAAGCUGCUUACACAUUAAGCAUCAUGAUCUAUAUAGAUAGAUCAAGACGCUUGAUAAGAUUUUUCAAUGAGUACAUACCUUGAUAAAAUUUUGAAAUAGUUCAAAAUGGAACAGUCAAAGAAGGAGUUCUUGCCUGUGAUGCAAAGGUGUGAAGUUGAGUAAGACUCAAGAACCGACCAUGGCAGAAAAUAGAAAGAGAAUGAAAAGUCAUUCCCUAUGCCUCAGUCAUAGGUUCUAUAAAGUAUGCUAUGCUGUGAACCAGACCUAUUGUAUACCUUGCUCUGAGUUUGACAAAGGAAUACAAUUUUGAUCUAAGAGUAGAUCACUGGACAACGGUCAAGAAUAUCCUUAGUGAGGACUAAGGAGAUGUUUCUUGAUUAUGGAGGAGAUAAAAGAGCCCGUCGUGAAAAGUUACAACAAUGCAAGCUUUUACACCAAUCCAGAUGACUCUAAGUCUCAAUCUGGAUACAUAUUGAAAGUGGGAGCAAUUAGCUAGAGUAGCUCCAUGCAGAGCAUUGUGGACAUAGAAUAUUUGCAAAAUACAUACGGCUCUGAAUAUGAUAGACCCGUUGACUAAACUUCUCUCACAAGCAAAACUGGAUCAUACCUUAGUACCCUUUGGUUGUUAAUCACAUAACGAUGUGAACUAGAUUAUUGACUCUAGUAAACCCUUUGAGUGUUGAUCACAUGAUGAUGUGAACUAUGGGUAUUAAUCACAUACAGAUGUGAAUAUUGGUGUUAAAUCACAUGGCGAUGUGAACUAGAUUAUUGACUCUAGUGCAAGUGGGAGACUGAAGGAAAUAUGCCCUAGAGGCAAUAAUAAAGUUAUUAUUUAUUUCCUUAUUUCAUGAUAAAUGUUUAUUAUUCAUGCUAGAAUUGUAUUAACCGGAAACAUAAUACAUGUGUGAAUACAUAGACAAACAUAGUGUCACUAGUAUGCCUCUACUUGACUAGCUCGUUAAUCAAAGAUGGUUAAGUUUCCUAACCAUAGACAUGAGUUGUCAUUUGAUUAAUGGGAUCACAUCAUUAGAAGAAUGAUGUGAUUGACUUGACCCAUUCCGUUAGCUUAGCACUUGAUCGUUUAGUAUGUUGUUAUUGUUUUCUUCAUGACUUAUACAUGUUCCUAUGACUAUGAGAUUAUGCAACUCCCGUUUACCGGAGGAACACUUUGUGUGCUACCAAACGUCACAACGUAACUGGGUGAUUAUAAAGGAGCUCUACAGGUGUCUCCGAAGGUACAUGUUGGGUUGGCGUAUUUCGAGAUUAGGAUUUGUCACUCCGAUUGUCGGAGAGGUAUCUCUGGGCCCUCUCGGUAAUGCACAUCACUAUAAGCCUUGCAAGCAAUGUAGCUAAUGAGUUAGUUACGGAAUGAUGCAUUACGUAACGAGUAAAGAGACUUGCCGGUAACGAGAUUGAACUAGGUAUUGGAUACCGACGAUCGAAUCUCGGGCAAGUAACAUACCGAUGAUAAAGGGAACAACGUAUGUUGUUAUGCGGUCUGACCGAUAAAGAUCUUCGUAGAAUAUGUGGGAGCCAAUAUGAGCAUCCAGGUUCCGCUAUUGGUUAUUGACCGGAGACAUGUCUCGGUCAUGUCUACAUUGUUCUCGAACCUGUAGGGUCCGCAUGGUUAAGGUUUCGAUGACAGUUUCAUUAUGAGUUUAUAUGUUUUGAUGUACCGAAGGUUAUUCGAAGUCCCAGAUGUGAUCACGGACAUGAUGAGGAGUCUCGAAAUGGUCGAGACAUAAAGAUUGAUAUAUUGGAAGCCUAUAUUUGGAUAUCGGAAUUGUUCCGGGAGAAAUCGGGAUUUUUCCGUAGUACCGGGGGGUUACCGGAACCCCCCGGGGGUUAAUGGGCCUACAUGGGCCGUAAGGGAGAAUAGGAGGGCCGGCCAGGGCAGGCCGCGCGCCCCCUCCCCCCUAGUCCGAAUAGGACAAGGAAGGGGGGGCCGGCGCCCCCCUUUCCUCUUUCCCCUUCCCCCUUUCCUUCUCCUACAAGGCAAGAGGGGGGAGUCCUACUCCUGGUGGGAGUAGGACUCCUCCAGCCGCACCCCUAGGGGCCGGCCGCACCUCCCCCCUUCCUCCUUUAUAUACGGGGGCAGGGGGCACCCCAUAACACACAAGUUGAUCUUCGUGAUCGUUCCUUAGCCGUGUGUGGUGCCCCCCUCCACAAUAUUCCACCUCGGUCAUAUCGUUGCGGUGCUUAGGCGAAGCCCUGCGUCGGUAGAACAUCAUCAUCGUCACCACAUCGUCGGGCUGACAAAACUCAUCCCCGACACCCUGCUGGAUCGGAGUCCGGGGAUCAUCAUCGAGCUGAACGUGUGCUAAACUCGGAGGUGCCGUACGUUCGGUACUUGGAUCGGUCGGAUCAUGAAGACGUACAACUACAUCAACCGCGUUGUCAUAACGCUUCCGCUUUCGGUCUACGAGGGUACGUGGACACACUCUCCCCUCUCAUUGCUAUGCAUCACCAUGAUCUUGCAUGUGCGUAGGAAAUUUUUGAAAUUACUACGUUCCCCAACAUUCUACUCGUGCAUAGAAACUACACAUAGACCUAGCUCAUGAUGCCACUGUUGGGGAUCGUUGCAGAAAUUAAAAAAAUUUUACGCGUCACCAAGAUCAAUCUAUGGAGAGACUAGCAACGAGAGAGAGGGGAGUGAAUCUUCAUACCCUUGAAGAUCGCAACACGGAAGCGUUACAAGAACGCGGUUGGAGGAGUCGUACACGCAGCGAUUCAGAUCACGGUCGAUUCCGAUCUAAGCGUCGAACAACGGCGCCUCCGCGUUCACCACAUGUGCAGCCCGGUGACGUCUCCCACGCCUUGAUCCAGAAAGGAGGAGGGAGCGGUUGGGGAAGACAACUCCAGCAGUAGCACGACGGCAUGGUGGUGGUGGAGCAGCGUGGUUUCCAGCAGGGCUUCGCCAAGCACUACAAAGGAUGAGGAUUUGGAGAGGUAGGGUUGCGCCGAGAGAGAGAGAGAGAGAGAGAGAGAGACUCGUGUCUUUGGCAGCCCCAAAGCCCCCACUAUAUAUAGGAGGAGGGGAGGUGGCUGCGCCCCCUCUAGAGUUCGCACCCUAGGGGGUGCGACAUCCCUAGAUGGGACUAGAGGGGGCGGCCAAGAGGGGAAGAGAAGGGGAGCGCGCCCUAGGGUGGGCCUUUAGGCCCAUCUGCACCUAUGGUUUCCCCUCUCUCCUCCUAGUUGCGCCUUGGUCCUUGGUGGGAUGCGCACCAGCCCACUCAGGGGAUGGUCCCUUCCCACUCUUGUCCCAUGCAAGCCUCCGAGGCUGGUGGCCUCUCCCGGUGGACCCCCGGAACCCUUCCGGUGGUCUCGGUACAUUGCCGGUGACGCCCGAAAUAGUUCCGGUGGCCAAAAACUCACUUCCUAUAUAUUAGUAUUUACCUCCGGACCAUUCCGGAACUCCUCGUGACGUCCGGGUUCUCAUCCGGGACUCCGAGCAACAUUCGGUAACCACAUACAAACUUUCCCUAUAACCCUAGCAUCAUCGAACCUUAAGUGUGUAGACCCUACAGGUUCGGGAGGCAUGUAGACAUGACCGAGGCAUCUUUCCGGUCAAUAACCAACAGCGGGAUCUGGAUACCUAUGUUGGCUCCCACAUGUUCCAUGAUGAUCUCAUCGGAUGAACCAGGAUGUCGGGGAUUCAAGCAAUCCCGUAUACAAUUCCCUUUGUUAAUCGGUACGUUACUUGCCCGAGAUUCGGUCGUUGGUAUCCCAAUACCUUGUUCAAUCUCGUUACCGGCAAGUCACUUUACUCGUUCCAUAAUGCAUGAUCCCGUGACUAACUACUUAGUCACAUUGAGCUCAUUAUGAUGAUGCAUUAUCGAGUGGGCCCAGAGACACCUCUUCAUCAUACGGAGUGACAAAUCCCAGUCUCGAUUCGUGCCAACCCAACAGACACUUUCGGAGAUGCCUGUAGUGUACCUUUAUAGCCACCCAGUUACGUUGUGACGUUUGGUACACCCAAAGUAUUCCUACGGUAUCCGGGAGUUACACAAUCUCAUGGUCUAAGGAAAUGAUACUUGACAUUAGAAAAGCUUUUAGCAAACGAACUACACGAUCUUAUGCUAUGCUUAGGAUUGGGUCUUGUCCAUCACAUCAUUCUCCUACUGAUGUGAUCCUGUUAUCAAUGACAUCCAAUGCCCAUGGUCAGGAAACCAUAACCAUUUGUUGAUCAACGAGCUAGUCAACUAGAGGCUCACUAGGGACAUGUUGUGGUCUAUGUAUUCACACAUGUAUUAUAGUUUCCGGCCAAUACAAUUAUAGCAUGAACAAUCGACAAUUAUCAUGAACAAGGAAAUAUAACAAUAACCAUUUUAUUAUUGCCUCUAGGGCAUAUUUCCAACACCCCGAACUUGGGUAAGAUGCGUCGGCAUGCAUGUCUCCGCCUUAUUCCGUUUCCAGGCACCGACGAUGUCUUAAUAUCUCCCACUAUGAUUAGCCAUCCUUUGGCAUAUGUCGCACCAACCACCCGACACACUACAUACCCAAUCGUCUGCACGAGAGAAAAACUCCAACUGUUCACCGCCCCUCUCUUUUCUCCCUCUCGCGCCUAUGGCAUAGUCGUCCGCCGGUAUGACUCCUGCAUGCGCGGUUUUCAUUGGCAAAGGUUCCUUAAAUACCAUCGCCGUGUGUUCCGCUCAUUUUGCGCACAUUUUCCGCCUCUGCAUGCCCUUUUCCGCCCUGUUUUUGUCAGAGCGCACUCUUUCCUGGGUGCUUUUCUCAUCGGACUAUGGCUAUAUAAACAAACACUUUCCUCAUUGUUGCACAACCACACUCAACCAUCCUCCUCUUCCCCACUCACUAUCUUCCUCCGCGCUCACCACAUUUGAGUCAUGUCAACGUUGUGACCCUCCUUGUGGACCCCUUCUGGGAGAGGGCUGGCAUUACUUCGAGUGGGUCCAAGAGGAUGCACUUCAAGAGGUUGAAUCAUUCAUGGGGGUCGAGCGCCUCCCCGCCGCCACACGACGGAAGUUGCCAUUGUAGUAGCAGAAGCCGUGAUCAAGGAGGGUUACAAGGUUGUGGCCUUCGUCCGCGUCCAAGAAGCCUACCAAUACCUCAACCACAUCAAAAUGCAAGUGGAAGAAGCCAAAUCUGCCCCCAUAUGUGAGAUCACUUUCAAACAGAGGAAGCCGGCGAAAUAAAAUCAUCGUGUUUCAAUUAGUCGUUCUAGGUUAAUUUUGAUUUCAAUGUAAUAUUCAACUAAUGUGCAAUUGCUUUUCUUUUGCGAGAAACUUUCAAUAUAUUUAUCUUCAAUCAUGUCAGUACAAAGAACAACAGUGGUAAUAAAAAUUACAACCAUGUCCGUGGACCAUCUAGCGACGACUAUAAGCACUGGAGCGAGCCGAAGGCGCGCCGUCGUCAUCGCCAUUCCCUCACCGGAGCCGAGCAAACCUUGUUGUAGUAGAUAGUCGGGAAGUCGUCGUGCUAAGGCCCCAUAGGACCAGCGCAACAGAGUAGCAACUAUCGCCGAUGAAGAAAGUCGUAGAUCAGAAGGAUCAAACCUGUAAACACCUAAACAAAGACGAACGAAGACCGGAUCCAAAUAGAUCCACCGAAGACCAGCACCGACCGAAUCCCGCAAGAUCCGACAGAGACAAACCUCCACAUGCCCUCUGACGAUGCAAGACGAACCAUCGGGACGGGGAUAAAACAUGGGAGACAUUAUCCAAAAAAUAAAUAAAUAUAAAGUUUGAAUUAUGACGACUCUGAGUAAAUGCCCGUCGCCUCAACAACUUCCAAAACAUUGUGGAGCGCGCUCCAAAAUGAUUUUGGGUUGUGAAUAUGGCACAUCCGCUAGAAUUAAUUUAAGCAUUUAUAUUAUUAUUUUUUACCAAAAACAUGAUUUUACUUGGUAAGCUAAUAUGAGGGCACAACCGGAGGGGGGGGGGGCACUUGAGGCGGUUUUGAGGAAAAAAAUCGGUGAGAAGAAAAAAGAGGUUGAGAAAAAAAAAUCAAAAAAGGAAAGGGGAAGAAGAAUGCAGGUAAAGAAGGGUGGAUGAAAAAUAAGUCAGACGGGAUUCAUUAGUAAGUACGUAUGGAGAACUCAAGAAAACUAUGAAGCUAGUGUAGUUCAGAUGGUUAGAUUGGUUGUGAUGGAAUCCGAUCGGGGUUCAAGUCCUGGACUUGCAUUGGUGCUCUUUUUUUUUCUGUAUUUGUUUCAGUCUUUCAGCAAUAUUCGUUCAGUGAGAUGGGAUGUUUCAGUCAACUACGAACGUGUAUAUAUGGUGACUUUGUCAAUCUUAACAUGUUGUGUGAACUCGGUAUCUCGGUUCAUAGGGACGAGUGUAGUGCAUGUAGACAUCCUAUGAAAACUUAUUAACACGGAAUACAAUCUGUUAAACUCAAAAUAGAAAAUUCAGUGCCGCAAUUAAUUGAUCUAAUCUGUAUAUUGUACUUGAUGCUAACAUGCGUGCAUGUGAGAUCGAUCGAUCGCCAUUAUAAGCCAUGCCCAUGCACGGGUACAUACAGGAGGGCAUAUCAAUUGAGCUUAGCCUGUCGGCUCCUCCUCAUGCCAGUCCACCACCUAAACCGGUACUCCGACUCCUCCUCCACCCGCUCCGGCGACGGCUUGAGGUCCUCGUCGAGGCCGCGGUCUAUGCGGGCGAUGUACUGGUGCUUGAACCACCGGCGGUUGCGUCCGAAGCACUUGCGCAGCGCCGCCGUGGCCAGGACGCAGGCCUCGGCGUCGACGACGACACCGCCGUCCCGCCGCUUGAUCUCCCUGGGGUGGCACUCGCCCGUCGCCGUCAGGAACUCCUGGAGGCAGCCGCCGUUGUGCACGUGAUGCACGACGCUGCUCUGGUCGCUGUUGGAGAUGAGAGGCUCCGCCACCGCUUUGAUCACGCCCUCCGUCACCGACGCCCCUAUUGAUUUGGCCAGCCGAUUCCCCAUGGUCGGCCGGCCGGCCGGCGGCGUUGGUGUGUUGGCCUUGGAAACCAAAGCCAGGCCGGCCAACUGAACACCCAACCAAUGUCCACCGCUGCGGCGGCUUAAAUAGCUACUGUACCAAAUAUUGGCCCGGAUCUGCUAACUGAACAAUUCCAAAUGCAUGCUAAGCUGUGGUUUGGUGGAAAUCAACUUCCGAUCAAACUAAGCCAUUCAAAAUGGGGUACGGUAUGGUAUGCAUGCAUGUAUCUCAUGGAAUAUGCAUGCUUGAUAGCCAAACACCAGCCAUUAAUUGCUUCUUAUUUUGCCUUGCCUAUUUCCUUUUUUAUGUAUCGAUCAUCGCAUGCCGUAUCAUUCGCCUUUGCGGCUACAAAUAUGCCUUUGUAGCGCGCACAUACCUUUACAACACUUUGUAUUUUCGUUUUGGAAAGUCUGCACUUCUAAUUUGAUUUAUUCCAACUGCCAUUAAAGCAAUAACACGUGUGGAAUAUACUCCCUCCAUUUCUAAAUAUAGGUCUUUUUAGUCAUUUCAAAUGAACAACAACAUACGGAUAUAUAUAGACAUAUUUUAAAGUGUAGAUUCAUUCAUUUUGUUUCGUAUGUAGUCAUUUAUAGAAAUAUCUAGAAAGACUUAUACUAUUUGAUAAUGGAGGGAGUAUAAGCUAGUCGAUAAACUACACACACGUAAGUAGCCAAGGACUCCCGAAACUAAGGAAGGAUCGAGCGAGCACGAUCGAGUCGGCGAUGGCGGCGCUCCUGAGCACGGCCGCAAGGAGGCUCUCACCGGCCGGCCGCGGUGGUCCGGCUGCGCGCUCUCUCUUCUCGCUGGCUUGCCUCCUCCGACACUACAAACCCACAGUACAGCAAUGGCUACUACGUACGUGCACGUGCCACCCCCUUACAUGUGUGUGUGUCUAUAUGUCGUGGCGGGUAGAUGCAUGCACUAAUCGAGUUGCUGUGUCAAUCACAUGACGAGGAUACCCACGAAUUUUCGUUUUAGGCAGCUUACGUAUAGUCGGUCCAAAUUUUAUGAUCAAAAAUCAUACUCCCUCCGUUUCUAAAUAUAAGUCGUUGAGGGAGUGUAAACUGAACUCCCCAGCGACUUAUAUUUCGGAACAAAGGUAAUACUUAUGAAGUUAGUCUCGUAUGCAUAUGAUCCCCUCGCGCAAAUCAAGUCUGCUGCAGGACCUCACGAUGAGCUGAUAAGGCGAACCCAGCAAGCGAAAGAAGAGCUAUACGGUCUCCUCUCCGAGCUGCGAUGGAGAAAUGUAUACCAGACUCUUAGGCCUUGUACAAUGCAAUGCAAGGUUCUUAGGGAAGGUGCUUAAAGAAAUAAAUCAGAUUUUUCUUAAGCACCGAUGCUUAUUUGUACAGAAUAGACGUUUAACUAAGCGUUUCUUCUGUAGAAAUAGGCACCGGUGCUUCAGAAAAACUCGGUUUAUUUUUCUAAGCACCUCUCUAAGCAUCUCCCAUUGUACAAGGCCUUAGAGCAUCUCCAGCCACGCCCCCAAGGUGCCCCCUAAGCCACUUUUUAGGCGUCAGCAGGCAAAAAAACCCCACUCACGCCCCCAAGGCCUCGUUUUUCGUCGGCAAAAACGAAAAACGGCGCCGGCGAUCCCAUGCCAUCCCCAGCGCACCGGGGGGCUCCUGGGGGGCCUAAUUUCGCCGCUUUAGGCGCUGGCCCACCUGCCAGCCUCUAUCUCAUGUCCCCUCACUUUUCCUCACUGGCCCCACGCACGUGCUCCCUCCUCUCUCUCCCUCUCCCUCUCUCCCUUCGCUCUCGUCCCCAUCGCCUGGCACCGCUCUCGUGUCCGUCACCGGAGGGCUGCCCACACCCAGCCGCCUCAGCCUCGUCGCCGUGCUCUGUGCAGCCCGGCCGCCUCAGCCUCGUCGCUGGAGGACGGAGCCGACGGGGCACACACGCAGCCGAGAUCCUCCGCGAAGAGCCCGUUCGCCCAGUCCACGGUCGCGCCGCUGGUCCUCGUCGACGCCGGACCUGGCGUCCUUGCUCGAGGCGCACCAGCUGCAGCUCCCUCGAAGCUGACACAUGUUUCUUCGACCUUGCACACGCCAGGGCGCGCCAUCAACAAUCGGUAGCGGCUAGCAGCUGCGCGUCGGCGAGUGUGCCCGUGGCUGGUGGUGCUCGCGGCGGCGUCUCGAGCGGCGGCGGGAGCGCGCGGACGAGCUCCUCCGAGCCAGGCUCGGGGCGGACGCGGAGGCGGGCGCGUGCGGACGAGCUCCUCCUCGGCCCUAGCUCGGAGCAUCUCCAGCCUGGCGUGUCCGUGUCCCCAUUCAUGCUGCCGGUGGAGUCGCGGACGAGGAGGGAGGAGAGAGCGGCCGCCAGGAGGAGGAGGAGCGUGAGGCGCUGGCCGUGGCGGCGGAGAAGACGACCAAGAAGUGGAGGAGGAAGUGGCUGGGGGCUCAACUACGGGGGAAAAUCCCGUCCCAGGAGAAAAAUUAGCGCCGGCAGAUUUUGAUCUGGCGCAAAGAACAUCGUUGGGGUUGUGUGCACAACGACUGGAGAUGCUCUUAGCAGUUAGCACGGAAAACGUUCAAAACAGGCGGCUGCUUUGGAUGCUUUCUGUGCAAGUUGAGGCUAAACGCCACGACCGCCUUUGGUAAAUACAUAUAUAUAAUUUCAAAUUUACCUCAAACACGCAUGCAUGCUAGCUCAAACAUAAUUUUAAUAUCUGCCCUCCGGACAACAUGCAUGCAGGCGCUCUUGUGUCCGAGUAAGAUGGACCAAUGAUUUUCUCUUUGAUUAUACUCCCUCUGUUCAGAAUUAUUUGUCAUAAAAAUGGAUGUAUCUACAACUAAAAUCGGAAUUACUUGUUAGAAAAAUGGAUGUAUCUAUAACUAAAAUACAUCUAGAUACAUUCAUUUCUUCGACGAGUAAUUCCGAACGAAGGGAGUACGUUUCUGGGAUACUACUCCUAUCUAGCUAAAUUUGCCGAGCCUGAAGAGAAGGAAGAAGAAAGCCCUGGCGGAACAAGUGAAAGCACUGAUGCCAGCGACGGAGAGACAAAGUCUGAUGCUACCGAGUAGAGUUUCCGAGCAAAAUAUUACAAAUUAAGUACUGUAAUAUUUAUCAACAUAUUGAGAAUUUUAGGAAGUGCCUUUUUUGGCAUUAAAUCAAUUUUAGUAUGGACGUAUGGUACAUCUAUUUGGAUAUUUGCUCGCCAUGUAAUGCUCAGACGUUAGGCGUUUUCGUGAUGGUAAACAAGUGAUUAUAUAUAUAUAUAUAAUCAAUGUGUUUCAUCCGCAUGCUCUCCCCAGGGCCCAAAUUUUGUGUCCUUUCUACCCUAGCUGCAUAUCAGUGAGGACCUUGCGCUAAAAAAAGCAGUUGGGUGAAAAAUAGUGGUUGUUUUCCAACGUUGCCAAUACUCAUUACCCGCAGGAGAAAAAAAAAUGCUCAUAGCUCACAGACGGUAGAGCACCCAAGCAGUGUCGUCAGGGAAAAUGGUCGGCAAAAAUCAUUUUAGAAAUAUGAAGGCCAAGCACAGGACCUUGAGGGCGGCACAGGAGAUUGGGGAGCGACGCGAUGAUAGCUGGGAGGUGGAUCAGCGGAUGAGCUUAGGUAUUUUGAUGCUGUUCAUAUACUCGGUCUGAACAGGAUACAAUGAUACAUUUGAUACGAUGCCAAAACAGAGAGCCGGUUUCUGCAGUAGCUUGUAUCAGGAUAUAUUAACUCCCAACUUUGCAGUACCCCAUUACAUGCCUUUGUUGAAACUCUUUGUGGCUUGGUAAAAACCAUCCAAAAUCCUCAGCUCAACUUACAUAUACAGCACACCAAAAGUCAUUUGUCAACCAAAUGAUGAAAACGUUAUGUCUUGUAAUUUGCACUCUCUCCGUAAAGUAAUAUAAGAGCGUUUAGAUCACUAAAGUAGUGAUUUAAGUAGUGAUUUAAACGCUCUUAUGUUACUUUACAGAGGAAGUAAAUGAGAUACAACACAGGGGAGUAUUAAGGCAAAAUAGUCACAUCAAAGUUCAAUCACCUGAAUCCACCUCUACCAAAACUGUGUCAAUGUGCUGCCGUUGCCACAGAUAUCCAAGUGUGGUAUAGUCCAUGAGUUUUUGGCCUGGAAAACACAGUCAGUAAAGCGCAUACCAUUUUCUUACAAUAUAAUGCAUGCUCCAAAAAUAACAUGGGAAAACCUAGGAAUACAACUAUAAAUUCCUUCAAAAAAAACUUGAGGGUGAGGCAGGGGAGCGAUCUACUCACAAAUGAAUAUUCUGGAGAUCAAUCUCGUUAAACAAAUUGAUGUAGAAACGGAACCCAUCUGGACUGACAUCCCUGCAGAGUAGACCUGGGAAUUUUUUAAUACUGGUUAGUUCAUUCAGUCUGGAACUAAAUGCAUGUCUUGCCAAUACUUGAAAGGAACAAUUGCAGGACACCUUUGUUUUCUGCAUUUAGAAGAUGCUCCUUUGCUAAAGCUGGUGCAAUCCCCAGCGUGAAUGCAGCGUCGCUGGGGCUUAUUCCUUUGAGAAGAGCAUCCGGCUUUUGUGCGAGUGAUGAGAUUCUUGCAAAUACCUAUGUUUAUUGGAGGGAGAUCAGUAUGCGGCUAUGCUACCAGUACUAAUGAUUGCAGGUGCAAGGUAACUGGUAAAAAGUGCAUGGAAACAUGUGGAUACCCACUAACAAAAAUGAACCAGAACCGGUCAUUCAUUUCAUACUUUUGAUUAAAACUAUGAUUCAGAUAGGAAACAGAUUUGGCAGGUAUAGAAACAAAAUCAAGGCACAAUAUUUGUAUGGCUGCUAGCUCACUCCUGCUAUGUCAUGCAGCGCUAUUCAGUACGAAUAUAAAAUGGCAUCUGGACUUAUCAUUGCCACGGCAUACCUCAUCAUCACUAUGCGUCUUGGUCUGGAUCACCUUCACUCCACUGUCAAAUUUCCGGAGCAUCACUGGGCUGCUUAUUACAAAUCAACAUCUAUAAGCAAAACAUCAAAACCAUAAUUAAUGGCUGGCAACAAACCAGCUGAAAAGACAUUAUUGUUUUUAGAAAACAAUGAUUACUCUUUUUUUAUAUCAUCUUGGAUUUGCAUAUUCUGACAAUUAAAAGCUUCAGCAAUUUUCAAGAAAAUGAUAUACAUACACAUCAAAUUUCUCCCAAAGGGAGCAAGCUUGCAAAAGAUCCUCUGGUGAGAUCAACUCUAGAACAAACAAAAAAUCAAUUUCAGAACACAAGUGACAAGGGAAUUUCGCACAGAUAUUCAUCAGCAAAAGCACAGACCUGUUCCCCUAGCACGGUUGAAGAGACAGUAGACAUCGACUAGUGCCAUCAUACCACCUGCUCUCUCAACUGGUACUCUUACAAAGUCAGCCAGCUGAUUAUGAAGAGGAUAAAAGAAGCCUCAGUAAGUCUAUUUCUUAGUAUUAUGUGGCAUAACAGAAGAAAACUCCGAAGAUGAAAACAAAACAGCUUCCAAAGUAGAAGAAAACUAUGAAGGCAUGAACAGUUUCAGCAUUGCUACCAACUGAAUAUGCAAGAAAGAUAUAGGAGGUUUUUCCUGUAUCUUUAAUGGAUGGGAAGUACCCCUAACCCCACCAAACAGAGGGCAGGUUUGUUUUUCUCGGAGGGAUUGUUUCACUAGCUUGAAGAGAACUGAAAGGUGAUCGAACAUUGGCCCAGGUUAACUGAAAGCUAUUACCCAACUAGCUAAACAAGGCCUAAAAGGGGUCCAAAUUUGAUCUAGUUCAUGCAUAAGCAGAAUGAAAAUAUGGAAGCAUACAAAUGACCAGCAAGUAUUGUUCAAUAUGGUAGAGGUUCCCUUUGCAUAAAAGGCAAGGAAAACGACUGUUUCCAUCCAGCCCAGACAUUUUAUACCGGAAAUUACUCUAUGCUUACGGUAUUUGGUGAUAAAGGCCCCAGGUAAACAUUUAGUAAUUGGCAUGCGAUUCUCCAAAUACAUGUAUUGUUAUUUCCAUUGCAAUUCAGCUGCACAGAAGUGCUGGAAAACUAUGAACAAGCACAAAUUACCUGUCGUGAAAGCUGCUGAUGGUACAAAGCACCAGCAGUUUCCUUUGUCACAGGAGACACGAUGCCUACGCUCAAUAGCAAAUCCUGCAUGUCUUGCUUAGAACCCAUCUCUUCGUCAUUGGAAUUCGAUUGAGCAGAUGAGUUCGUCAAUAGCUUUUGCCUCAUCUUCUCUGCCAAUUCCAUCAUUUCCUUGGCUUUGCUCUGUAUAGGAAUGACGUUCACAAAAUUAUGCCCGGUUCAUUGCCAUUGCCAUUUAGAGCGUGGUGAUCCAAUCUCAGAUGUUACAAACACUAUAUGAUAGUAGCAGCAUCCAAGCAGGAAGCAGGAAAGAGGAACGAACCAUGAGUGCGUUGAGAUCCUGGAAGGCAUCCUGCAAGUUCUGCCCCGCACUCUCCCACGUCUCCUGCUCCUUCCGCAGUAUCCCCGCCACUCCAACCACGGGCAUCCUGAUCGCCAGAUCCUCCUCGGCUGGGGCGGCUCCCUCAGCCACCGGGGCGCCACUGGCCGGAGCAGCCGCGGCGGUCGCCUCCCAGGCCCUCGCGCGGAUGGCCUCGAGCAGCCGCCCGUAGAACACAUCCACGUCCGCCUUGCAGGUGACGACGACGGCGACGACCUCCGACCGCGACGGGGGCAGGGAGAUCUGGAUGCGGAUGCGCGGGUGAUGCGACGAGGAGGAGGACGACGAGGAGAAGAGGGAGCGGAGUGGGUUAUGGUUGUGCCUGCGGUGGGGAGGGUACGGGUGGACGAUGGACGCGAGCGGGAGGGCGCGCGCGGAGAGGGAGGCCUCGUGGAGGAAGAUGAGCCGGUGGGAGGUGAGCGCGAGGAGGCAGCCGCGGAGGGGCGCGAGGCGGGGGUUCUCCUCGGGCUCGAGGUCGACGAGCGGAAGCAGGUGCCGCUCGAUCUCGCCGGCGGACAGCACCGGCCGGCCGGACGCCGUGACGGUCGCGGACGGGAGCCAGUCGGCUGCGGCGACGGACAUGGUUGUGGAGAGUUUGGACUUCGGAGGUUUUCCCCCGUGUUUUUGUGUAAAUAAAAAAAUUUGUUGUUUGUUCGGCCUCGUCAAUCGGAAGAGCAUGUUAAGCAAUACGUACUACUCUCGUUCAAGUCACACCUUUUUAAGUUUGAUUAAGCUCAUAAAAUUAUUAACAUUAAAAAAGUUCAUUAAAAAUAGUAACAUUUAAAAAGUCAUAAAAAUAUCAACAUUUAAAAACACUAAAUUAGUCUCCCAAAAAAAUCACAAAAUAUAUUUUCGCACUAUGCAUAUCAGGGUUGUAGAUUUUAACCCAACUUUUUGAUUAGUUAUUAGUCAAACCUAAACAAGAUUGACUUAUGGCAAAACUAGAAUUUCAAUUAAUUUAAAGCGGAAGGAAAUACAAGAAGAAAGUGUUGAUUAUGUAAAGCCACAACUUAAACGCAACCUUUAACAAAUGGCCGCGAACAUUUCAAGAUAAAUAUAUUAGUUUAAUAAUUUUUAACAAGUUAAUGUUUUGGCAUCGAACUUGACAAAUCAAGCAUACUAUAAGACUAACAUGGCAAGAAAAACAAUAUUAUACUUCGCUCCUCCACCAACAACAUCCACCUUGAUGGACCGUGACAACAAUAGCAAUAUCAAUGGUGGUGUCCGACACACUUAGCACGUAAGGGUCAACAAGCUCAGUCGAAACAUCCGCAAGCUUAUCAACAACAUCAACAACAACCGCUCCCCCUACCGCACCUCUACCCAUUACAACACGAGUAAUGUUGCAGAGUAUGGAUAUCUACUCAGAGAGAGAGAGAGAGAGAGAGAGAGAGAGAGAUAGAUAGAUAGAUAGAUAGAUAGAUAGAGAGAGCACCUGAACCUUAUUCCCAACCUGAGCUCCAGAGUCCUGCGCCCUGUUGCGUCCAUGUAGGCAUUCCUAAGGUACAAGCAUGAGCGCUACUUUAGGGAUAUUGAUUAUACCAUAUCUCUCGAAGAUAGGUACCAAACUACUGGGGAGAGACCACCUACAAAAAGGAUGGUGCUGGCCUCUACCAAAGGAAAGAGCACUCACACGUCAAAGAAAGGAGACGCAUAAGCACAUACAUGUACCCUGAUUCAAUAGAUAGGAAAAUUCCUUAUAGUCAUUCAUAUUCAUCAACAAAGAUAGGCAGGCAAAAUGUAGGGCUCUUAUGUUAGAAUCUACGGUAGGGUGCGUCGACUGCAAAUUAAAAUUUCCUACGCGCAGAACAUCCAAGAACAUGCUAUGGGAGAUGGAUCACAGAUUAUUAUCACUAGACGCACAGUGCCGUGCAGCGGAAGUAGAGUUGAGGCAGCGCGUUCCUGGAGUCACCUCGCAUUGCCGGAGUCGUCUCCUCCUUGCCGGUCUCCCACGUAGCCGAUCGGAUCCCGCGAACAGGUUCGCCGGAGCGGCGCAAGUGUACCGCCUCUAACGGUAUCCGCGUGCAGGAGGAACGUCGUGCGGCGGACUGCUAGGUCCGAUCACACAACCGGCGGCAAGUGGAGGUGGCUAUUCGCAACAUAUGCAAACCCUAGUGACAGCGCCGAAGCGAUCAACCCCAUGAGUGUGCCGCGCCUUCACUUUAUAUAGGCGUCCGUCGCGGGCUCAACACUUGGGCCUCGCACGAACCCUAAAGCCCACAAGUCUACUCGGCCACAAUCCGAAUACAGCUCGGAUCACAUCCGACCAGUGUCCUCGGAUCCGACCUCGUAGGUUCUUUCUCUUAAGCGCGCUACCCCUUAGGUUCAAGUCGGCUUGAUCGCAGUUCGGAUCACCUCCGAACUGCACUGUUGGUAGCGGCCUCUAGCAAGGCAUGCCGAACACCAAGCAGACUAUGAAGCUGGUUAGACGAACCUGUACAACGUGUCACACUUCUGUUCCCUUUGCCUCACGAUAUAUGUUGUCGGGCUCAAGGCAAGACUGUCAUCCUUGUGCUAGUCCGACCUCUUUCUCAUUUCAGUGAUUCCGGCCACUAUCCGGAUUAUCUCAUAAUCCUAGUCGCGUGGCCAUGCUUAUCCUGGUCGGAUCACACGAGGGGCCCAGAGUAUAUCUCUCCUAAUCGAAGGGGCAAAUCUCAUCUUGCUCGACCAUGUGUUCACAGCAUGGAACUGGACAAACCCGAAACCUACCUUUGUAACUACCCAGUCACGAAGUAGCGUUUGGUCGGCCCAAAGCAAGUCUGUCACCAUCCCAAGUACAUGCGUCAGCUCAGGUCUUAGGACAUAGAACGUAUGUUGUACUAGAGACUCACAGAUGUCAUAUCAUUGUGUCUCAUAGUUGGGUCUGUCCGACUCGGACCUUAUCUCGAUUCGGAUCCGACUACGUCGAAUCCGACCAGACCUUUCCAAGUCCAUAUUAUCUGGUUAGCAUCCAAUACUUCAUGGCUAGUGAGACCAAGCCAUCGACCGUGUCAUAUACUAGUCUAGUCGUCUGCGCGUCCACACAGCCCUUUCGACUAGGGACCUUUUAGGAAAGUCAUCAUACAAUGCAUAGUCCCACAAACAAGUCAUGUACUUGCUGAUGCACAUCAUUGAUAAUGUCCAAGAACUAUCUUUAUUCAUAAACACAUAGGAAAUAUCAUCAUACAUGAUUGCCUCUAGGGCAUCUCUCCAACAUCUAACCCAUCCAGUGGCUGGAAUCUAGGUAAAGUGUAAAACUGUUGUGCCAUCAUCAUCGUUGAUGAGAUCUCUUUGGAAAACAUCCUUUAUCCUUACAAUUAUUUCACGGCUUUCAUCACAUUGUCAACAAGUAUCAAUUUCGUGACACCGUCCACUAGGUCACAUGCAGCAUUCGAUUCCUUCGUCCCUCGAAAUCAACAACACACGUCACUCCCACUCCUUUACCACAACAUUCCAACCCCGCCUCCACAUGAAUUUAGAUCACCUACAGUCGGAGUUGUCAAAUAUGACCCCUUACAUGUCCGCGGACCCCUCAUUUGUCCACCAUUGCAACCAGACUCCUCAUUUGAAAACCCUCAUAUUCAUACUACUCCAUGCAGCGUCCAUUCCAUCUACGUACUACAUAAUGCAUGAAACCUCCUCCUCCUCCUCCUCUGCCUCAUCUUCCUCCACCUCAUCUUCCCUCCGCCUCUUGCUUCGACACCUCCUCAUUCGCCUUUGUCUCGUCCUCUCACGCAAGGCGAGCAGCACGACAUUCCUCCGCGACGCUCAUCUCCCGCGCGAUCUUUGUCCGACGCUCAAGCAUUAGCAUUUUGUAAUAGGUGAUCUUCUGUCGGACCAUGGCGGGCAACGAGACUAGAGAUGAAGGGGAAGGAGACGUGAGAUCCGGUGGCAACGCAGACUAGAGGGAAAGGAGGAAAAUGGGGUUGGCUAGGGUUUGCCCUCGCCGUCCGGUUCAAAUAGUCCCAUCGAGCGGCGCAUCGGGACGACACCGUGAAUGCAAUCACCGAACCGGUAACGUCUCCCAACAGACCGAAGGGUUUCCACAUGGAUCCCGCCCGUCGAUUCAACAUGACAGACGCGUCCGGGCAUCGACAUAUCCAUCCUACAUAUGGAUUGGGUAUGAGGGUGUCGGAUAGCCCGAACGUAUGUGCAGGAUUUGAGAGUCCCGAUUGGAUAGUGUUUUUUCAGUCCAAGCGAUGUCCGGGUUGUCCGCCUUGACGCUUGGAGGGAAUCUGGGGUCGGCGUCCAUCCUUCGCCUCUGACACAUCCCGCCUCCCAUCCUUCGCCUUUGACGUCGGUGUCAUCGCUGGACAUACUCCUUUCUCCAGAAAAAAAUUCUAUGAGACCAAGUCUCACGGAUUAGCAGGUGAGAUCCAUCCUGAUGGAUGACACGUGACAUUCACAAAUCACAAAGCAUUUACCCCACCUCCACCUAAAAUCAGGGAGGGAGAGAUUAAAUGUUUUAUGAUUUGUGAAUGCCACGUGGCAUCCAUCAGAACGGGUCUCACCUGCUUUAUAUGAGACCUGGUCUCAUAUAAUUUUUUUUCGAUCGGAUUUCUUAAUUUGCUUCCGCCAUCAGCGGGUUGAUCUACCCCGCUACAUCAGCCCCCACCGCCGCUCCAGCAACUCGUGUAACAUGGACUUGGAUCUUCUCUACAUUGUGACUACCAUCACAGUAUGGUUGUAUAACUAGGCACAAUUGUCAUGAGAAGAACUUUCCAGGUUCGCGGUUCAGAGCUUUGCACGUUGAGUUUUGACGUCAUGUGCUCGAGCUGCAUAUCGCAUCCCUUAAAAAAAACUAUAAAAGAGCAUAAGCGCACGUACACGCCUCAUCUCCCAUGCCCGCAUGGCCGCAUCAGGCACACACGGUUAUUAACCUACCGUUUCAGCCGGCGGCGUUAAAUUCUGGUGCCAUGUCAGUCUUGAAAGUAGGCCCAGUAUGUCAUAUUUCGCAUCAAACAACUCUCAAUCAACCGGCCGAUUACUGAAGACCGAUGUUUUCAGCAAACUUUUAUAAAAACGGUAGAUAUCCGCACUGAGCGACGCAAUUAUGACGGUUUUUGGCAAUUUUACUUCACAUCAGUCCCAGGGGGAGAUGAUCACGGAGAAACUGCCGAACAAAGAUCUUAAUCUGUUAUGAAAAUGCUAAACCUGCUUGCUGGUACUUACGGAUUCCACCUUAGAGGCGUAAUCCUUCCCUAUCCUCAGUCCCGCGAUCAUGUUCACACGGGUAUGUUGUACAGAGAAACUAUCCGUGACGAGGAAACAAAUGCAGCACAUGCAAAUCGAAACCUACACAUCCCUCAAAAAAACUAGGCAGGAGCAUACGCGCAACACGCGUCUCAUCUUAGGCCCGCACCAGGCACACACGAGUGAUUGACAAAAAACUACCACUUUAGAAUUUUGCGUCCCACUGAAUUACCACUUUUUAAAAAAUGACUGAAAACUAUCAUUUUUUUAAUUUCGUGACAAAAACUACCAUUUUCGGAUAAUGGCAAGUUUACAUGAUUUAAACGUGUUUAUGAUAGGUGGGGUCCGUCUGUCAGGGCUGAUGUGGCAGAAAAGUUAACUUUGUUUUAUUUUGACUGUUAAGUUGGGCAUUAUGACAGGUGGGGCCCACACCUUCUUCUCAUCUCUCUCUCUCUCUCUCUCUCUGAAAUUUUAGUAAACACACGACGGCGAGCACCGCUGCGGCCUCCCUCUCUCCGUUGCACGGGAUGGGCAUUGCGUCAAGCUCCAACCGCUAGCGGCUCGCCGGCGAAUUGCAGUUCCACACCGCCGGCGACCUUCAAGAGCAACUGCGCGCGUGGUGGGGGCCCUUCCCUUCUGCUCGCGAUGCGGGUGGGGUAGGAGAGGUUGGGCGGGAUAUGUAGCUUGUCGGCGCACAGAUCCCGCUCAUGACGGUCGACGGGGAGGUCGAAGUUGACCCUCGUGCCGCGGGGGAGGCGGAUCCAGCCAUUGUGGAGGCGGAUCCGGUCUGGGGAAGGGAGGCAGAGGAGCGGCGCCCGCACCCGGUGGACGGUGGCGGCGAGGGGAGGUAUGCGCGGGGCGGCGCGAGGACGAAGGCGCAGGAGCUGGGAAGGUUGCUCCUUGGGUGGUGCACGGCGACGCCUGGGAAGAGGUUGCGGGGUCGGUGAGAAGAAGGCGGCUCUGGGUGGGAGAGAGAGGGGGGGGGAGGAGAAAGAAGAUGGACGUGUGGAGAGUUGACUUUUCUGCCACAUCAACCAUGACAGGAUAAACUCCUUUAAAUCAUUUAAACUUGUCAUUAUCUGAAAUGGUAGUUUUUAGUCGUAAAAUUAUUCUUUUAGUAGUUUUCGGUCUAUUUUAUAAAAAUGGUAGUUUAGUGGACGCAAAUAUAAAGUGGUAGUUUUUUUGUCAAUCACUCGGCACACACGGUUGCUCCACUCUCCAGGCUCGGGAGUCAGGACACGACGUUUAGCUUCUCCUGGUCCUUCGUUCUCGGCGCGAGCGCAGAGGUUCCGUUGUGCUUGAGGAAGCCGGCGUACCAGCGAGCCAAGUGCCUGGCCUGCCGCGGCCGCCUCUCGUCGGCGAAGUCGACACGGUACAGCCCGUACCUCGACUGGUACCCUGACAGGAGCUCGAACAUGUCCAUGAACGCCCACGCGAAGUAGCCUCUCACGUCGGCUCCGUUCCUGCACAACAAACAAACAGAGCAUCACGCAAUGCAUGCUGAAAGAACGGGUGUAUGUUUGAUCUGAUCUCGACGCACGGUCGCACGCACCUCAUCGCGUUCAGUGUGCUCUCCAUGUAGCUGCUCAGGUAGCCGAUCCUGUCGGUGUCAUCCAGACCGUCAUCGGCAGAUCCCAUACCUGAAACAAACCACACGACUACUUACAUGAGUAACGAUGCACCUUUCUUCUUCAGCUGAGACUUUUGCUUCUGGUUGGGAGUAUGCUUGCCAUUCUCCUGGACAUAGACCGGAACCGCGUAGGUUUCUUUCAGGUACUCCAGCACAAGUUGCAGCCCUUUGGGGUCACUUGGGACAUUUGGUGGGGCACUCUGCACUCCCAUAAAGAAAAGAUUAUCUUUGAUGGUUACUGUCAAGCUAAUGAUCUCAGGUUUUUAGGUGAGUUUUCUUUUCUAAUCUCUUGAUCAAGUUCAGAACAUAUUAUAACCCAAUAGAUGUAUGGUGAAAUGACCAAAAUAACUUCAUUUUUAGCAACUUCUUGCACACCACAUCGAUGACAUAAUUUUUCUUACCGGACUAAGUGGUGGGUCUGUCCUAGAACCUGCAUCAUACAAAGGAAUCACUAGUUAGAACAGUACGCUCAGCUCUUUUUGCAUACUUUGUGUAAUGUAGUGCACUACAUUACACAAACAUCUCAGUAUGCGGUGAACAAAUAGCAUACUUUGUGUAAUGUAGUGCACUAACAAAAUAUGUUUAAAGGGAUGACUGAGUACUGCACUCACUCAGAGAAAUACACAAUUUGCAUGACUGGUGAAUCUGAAAGGUUGCUAGCCGGUUUGUCUUACCAAUUUAUCAUUAGUAGGAUGCCACUCACAGUAUCUUGGCUAGCCUAUUUUUUGCAUGAGCUUUUUUACGGUACAUUUUACCAUCAUUAGAGGAGGAGAGUAAUAUAAGUCUCAACCAACCAUUGAUUUUUCAGGGCAAUAUGGUCUAGAUAAAAGAAUAUCAUCAAGCCUAUGGUUGCACACAGUUUCUGAAACGUGCAACUACUUAAUUAACCAUUAGAUGAAGAAUCAAUGUCCUAGAGAAAGUGGCACCAAAAACCGAAUCAAUUGCGCAUCCACACAGCACACUACUAUGAGCAGUUAAGCAAUAAUCCUGGUAUCAGCACCCGAAAAAGAUAGUUACCCCUUGAAUCAACCGACAUGUCCGUGUUGUAGUCCCGAAUGCCUGUUUCUAGAGGGCGAUCAUUCACGUAGAGAGAAUAGUAGUGAUUUAUUCCAAUAAAAUCUAGAGAACCCUUGAUAAGUUCAGACUGAACUUUCGAGAAGGAUGGAAGGCGGGAGCCCACAUUCUUCUUCAUUACUUUUGGGUAGUCCCCAAACACCAAUGGGUCCAGUAUCCUGCCAGUACGGCACUUAAGAUCUCAACAAUGCACGGAUCAUGUAUGUUAAAGAUUCCAUUGACAGAAUGGAUGCACAAUAUCAUACCAGCCAAAUAAGAAAUCUUUACAUCUCUGGCUUGCAUCUAAAUCCACUGUGGAAUUUGUAAGCGGGUAACUCCAGUAGGAGUAGAUACUUAUGCCAACAACUCCUUUUUGCAUGACCUACAUCCAAAAAGAUUCCUUAGUUUUUUUUAUGAACCUAUACCUCGGAAACAUUUGCACCGUAGCAGGGAAAUUACGAAGAAUGUAAUACUCCCUCCGAUUUGACAACAUUGUAUAGAUGCUGCGUCAAUUAAUUCGGAUCAGAAGGAGUACUUGUGUUAGAUACUCCCUCUGUCCCAUAAUAUAAGAAAGUUUUCCAAACUAUGUUAGCUUGAAAAACGUUCUUAUGUUAUGGGACGGAGGGAGUAAUAACGAAGAAUCCGAGUCUAUGUACAUGAUGACUCUGUUUUUAAGGGAAAUGCCCAGGAACCUAAACAAAAUAUAUCGACUACUUCCCCAGGAAAAUACUACCCUAAGUGUGCCGCCAAUGCUGAAACAUGUAUUGAAAAGAUGAAUUACGAUGUGGUUAAUGCCUAAUGACUGGAAUUGGUACCUCCACCCUCUCGAAACAGUCUCUCGCCCCGCUAUAUAGAUAAAGCACAAACCAAAGUACACGGCCGAACGAUACAAGGUAGUGAGGCAGCGCUCUUACAAAUCAAAUAGCUCAAAUGGUUUUAGGUGUGCCUAAUGACUGAAACAAUGAAACUUGUGCCUCCAUUCUUGAGGAAAGCUAAAAUGGUUUAGAAAUUGCAGUUCAUGAAGAAACUAAGCAUCAUGAGAACUAUUUUAAGUACAAGAUCAUCCACUCACUUGAUAUUUUUCUCUGUAAAGACUAGCAACUGAUGCAUGCGCCAAAAGGGUAUUAUGAGCCGCUAUGUAUGGUUCCACGCUAGAGUCCCCAGCAGUGCACUUUGUUGCUCCAAAUGGGUCCGAGCAACGGCCGGGAGGGAAUAUAGCAACAUCAUAAGAGGCCAUCAUACCAAUGUUUGGCUCAUUCACUGUCGUCCAAGAUGCAACCCUAUCUCCAAACUUCCUGAAGCAAACAUCUGCAUAUGCUGUGAAAUCUUCGCUGCAUUUUGUAGAUUUGAGAAUAUGAACAGGAUAAAAUAUUAUGUCAUAAGUAUGCCAAAAUGACAUAUAAAAUUGCCACUCCAGUUGAGCUGUCUAUUUGGUAGUGAAAUCAUAUAUGCACGUACAUAAUUCUGGGGCUUAACCAUCCACCGUACUCGUCUUCAAGAAUCUGAGGGAGAUCUAGAUGGUGAAGUGUGAUGUGGACUUGAAUUCCUGGGAUAAAUACCACAGAGACUGGAUGGUUCAAAUUUCUAUUUUGCAUGAACUUCUUAACAAGGAACAAUAUUUACACCAACUUAUAUGAAAUACGGACCUAACAAUCGAUCACAAUUAAAUUGUUUAAAUGCUCAAAGAUCUAAUAAAAAAAUACUUGCCAUGGUUCACUAGUUCAUCAAUGAGGUUAUUGUAGAACUCCAGCCCUUUGGGAUUGAUAGCUCCGCGUCCAUCUGCAAUCCCGAAAUUUAAGAAAGAGUAAGAUAAAUUAGAAACUAAAGUGGAUGGUUGUGAUAGAGUUUGUGAGGAUUUCUGUACUUGGAAUGAGCCUUGACCAGGAGAUGGAGAACCUAUAGGCCUCUAGGCCUGUCUCAGACAUGAGCUUGACAUCGUCCUGCGAAAUCAGAUAGUCCUGAUUUACUUUGUAUAUAGAACUAUUAAAGCAGAGAAACGGUCAAGAUUUUUCAGUCCCUCGUCUUAUUUACCAUGUAUUUGUGGUACCCAUCUGCAGCAACAUCUGCCGUGCUUUUGUCUGGCAUUUUGCCUGCAAGAACAAAUCGAACUGUCAAAAUGGACCUAAACUGCAACAAACACUUCUUUGUCAGCCGUGUCAAGUUCUGGUCUUGGCUGUUGCCAAUGCUAAUUUGUCAUGUUCAAUUACUCUAAAAAAUUAGUUACGCUUCAGCAAUAGAAAUGCUGUGUAAAUUGUUCUACCAAGGUGCUAUUUCUUGCGCAUAUGGGAAAUAUCCACAGUCUGACAGUCAUAUGGGAAAACCAGAGACAAAUCUCGCAAACAUGUUAGCAACCAACCUGCGUGAGUGAAAGUGUCCCAGCUGCUUGAGCUCCGGCCAUCCUCAGCAACAGCGCCCUCGUACUAUGCAUGCAAAAGAAGAAUCCAAGUUCAUUAAGCAAAUACACAAGAACUUCCAGCUCAACAAGAUAGAUUGAUUACUAACUUGAUAUGCCGAGGUUCCAGUUCCAAAGACGAAUCGCCGUGGGAAAUCACUUCGUGUGAAGCCAAGACCAGCCGCAGCUGCAUCCUGAACCCAGAGGGGCAGCAAGAGGUAGAAGAAGGCAGCAGAAGCACCCAUCUAUGAUCUGUGUUUUUUCGUGCAUAAUGGAUUCGUUCGCUUUGAUAGAAGAUUUAUAUCAGGAUUAAUUAGUCUCACUCUCAGCCGCAACCUUACCUCGUGAAAGCAGCCAGACUAAACAACUUUCAUGAGGUCUCCAACUUUCAUCUAGUAACGUCGGUCUUCUGUGGGGACAUGUGCAGCUAAUUAAAUGUGUGCUACUGCCUGCUGCGUGCUUACACCAUCCAGUGGAAACGUUUAUCUGAAUGUACAUGCCAUUUCUUUUUCAAGAAAUAUACUUAUCAGGGUCUUGAAUAUGGCAGGACAUGACUUUUUGCCGCUCAUGAUCAACAUCCCCGUUAAUCUUUUUUGCAUGGGUAAACAGAGAUCAGUAUGAGUAGCUGUCACAGAUUAAAAAAAGACACACGCAGCUGAUUUUUUGUGCGAUGAAGAGUGAUUUUUUUUACUCAAAAUGACCCAUCAAGUGGAUAUAAACAUAAUAAGCACACAUCCAGCCUCUUCAUAGUUAGAGCAUCUCCGGCCGCGCCCCCAAUAGCCCCCCUCCACUUCCCAGGCGUUUUCUUUUGGCGCCGGCGACCGAAAUCGGCCCAGUCGCGUCCCCAGGAGCCCGUUUUUCGCCGGUUUGGGCCGAAACUGGCGCCGACGGACCCAGACCGAACCCGGUGCGCUGGGGGCGCCUGGGGCGCCGGGUGACGCGUUUUUGGCGCAAACGGGGAUGGGCCCGCCGAGUCAGCGAGACGCCGCUUCGUCGUCCUCAUCGCCUCGGUUUCCCGCGGGAAUCAAUGCCAAGGAUGCCGCGCCGCUGCGCCGGUCAGCCUCCAUUGAUGCCUCACGGGCGGCGCAGUGAAGGCGCCACCCACCGACGCGCGUCCCGCCCGCUCCCGCCACGCGUCGACCGGUAUGCAGGCUCUCGCCGCCCCGGCUAUAAAAGCCGAUCUACCCGCCGGGCAGCUACCACACAUCGCCUCCCAUCGCCACACAAAGCACCACACUUCCCCCUUCCCGCCGACGAGCAAAUGGCUGAGAGGUACCCAGGCGACGGCGCGGCGGCGAACGGCUUCAGUCGCCCCAUCUCCAAGAGCCGGAGGUGCGCCUCCUCUACGAGGUCGACUAUCCGGCGUCCCAGGACAUGCGUGUGCCGGGGCGUGGAAGUUGAGCGUCGGCGGCGUCCCGGUGCCACCGGUGCCCGAAGGGGCAGCACGACGGGCCGAGAUCGCCCGCAUCCGCUCGUCGCUGACGAAGGCGCAGCGGGACGAGCCGAGGUACGCCGCCGACAGCCACACGCUGUGGACGAUGUAUUUCGAGCGCUGCUGCAAAGACCAGAUCGCCUCCGCCAACGGCAUCAUCCCCCGCGGACACCACAACGCCGACGGGCGGCGCGAGUGGUGGGGCGUGCUCGGCCGCACCCUCGAGGCUAUCCUCGACCACAUCGAGGCCGACAACACGCCGCGCCUCGAGUACCCGCCGUGGUCGUCUUUCUCUCGCCGCCGUGGCAGUUCCUGGAUGCCGCGGUGAAUGGAGCCAGGGGCGUCCUCGUCGUCGGGCUCCGGCUCACUCUCCUCCGGCUCGCCAGCGCUCCGCCCAAUCAAGCCGGAGCCGGAAGAGACGCCGCUUCGACGCCGCACCCACAGCGGCGCUCUCGUCAUCAACGAGGGUGCCCGCCCCUCCCCGCGCUCCCUCUGCCUGGUCCGGCCGAAGCCCGAGCCGGGGCUGCUUCUCGUGAAGCCGGAGCACGCGGACAUGGUGGCCCCUGACGACAAGGCCGCCCUCAAGUGGGCGAGGGAGGACUACGUCCGCGAGCAGGUGCUCCGCCAGCAUCCGGCAUACGCGGAGCUCCAGUCCCGGCGCCGCGGACGCGAGGAGGGUGGCGUCAUCGUCCUCAACAGCGACGAGGAGGAUGAGGCCGGUCCGUCCAACCCCCCACCGUGCGUUGGCGACCCUGGCCAGGGGUGCCAUACGGAGGGUGGUGGCUCCGGCGUGGCGCGCGAGGACGACGACGACGACGACUCACCUGUUUCUACAGGCUUCUCGGCAUGUAGAUGGCGGGCGGUGGCCGCGGCGUAGCAGGGGAUAGCCGUAGUUUGGCGUAGUUUGCAUUUUCAUCUGUUUUUUUAUAAAUUUCCAUGAAGAAUUGCCGAGUUUGUACAAAUUUGUAUGAAAUAUCGCCGAAUUCGUGCGAUUUUGGCAGUGACCUUGGGGCGUCGACUGGGAACGCAAUCGCCCCCACGCACCAAGCAAGCACCGGUUCGGCCCCAGGCGGCUCUUUUUCGGCGUUCUUGGGGGCCGAACGGCUGGAGAUGCUCUUAGGAUGCAUACAACUAACAAGUUAGGGCUAGAAGGUCGGGGUCGGGCGGGAAGGCGUGUGGUGCGUCCCUAUGUUUAUUGACAACAGGCCACCAUAGAACACAUUUGGGCUAGUGGAGCAAAAAUUUACAGAGAAAAAAAAAAGCUAAAUUUGGGGAACUAAAUUGUUUAGGGAACUAAAUUUGACAUUAGCAAAUACAAUAAGAACAUAUAGUGACAGCUAGGCAACACAUGAUGGCAUUUCAGGCAAAUGACUAAGAAAGCUUGAGCAAAAGCCAGGCAUUGCACAAAGACACUAGGCAAAACAUUUGAGGGCAUGUCAGGGCAACUGACUAAAAAAAAAC